CAAUCCCACCUUGUCUCCUUCUUUAGCAAAUUAGUCAAAAGAAUGACCAUCUCAUAAUAGCCUUUUAUUCAACGCCGUUAGUAAUUAGGUAAACCAAGGAAGGAAUAUGGAUAUUGAGAUUUUAUAAAAGCAAAAUUAAUUUAUUUUGUUAAAAAUAAAGAAAAAUUAUUCAAAAUUAAUCAUUUCUAAUAAUAUUCUAUUUUGAAUGAAUAUAAAAACAAAUAAAAUUUAAUUUUUUUAAGGUGUAAAUGAGCCAAAAUUUUCAUUUUAUGCAUACAUUUAUUAAUCAAUUACAAAUAUAACAUUCUAAAUUAUUUUAUUUAAUCUAUAAUUAAUUAAUUAGUUUUUUGAAUUUCAAAUUAUUAUUAAAAAUUACAAGAUUUGUUAAAGAAUCUAAAACAUUAAUUAUGUCAUUAUAUAUAUCAAGUUUUAAAUUAUUUUUUAAAAUCAUUAAACUUAUUAAUAAAUUAAUACAAAGUCUCACUACAUUUGAAAUUCAUUUUUCUAUAUUACUUUUAAAAUAAAGAAUAAUAACUAAAUAAUGGUAUAAAUCUUUAAAAACAAUUUUGUUUUUAAAUCACAUACCUAAAUAGGUUUUUAUCAUUUAGCAAUUUUUUAAAAAAAAAAAAAUCUCAAGGAUUUUCUUUUAAAUGAAAAUAAAAAAUUAUUUCAAACUAUGUUGAAUGUGAGAAUUUUUUAAAAUAAAUAUAAAAAAAAAUUAUUUUAAACCAUGAGAAAGAAUAUCUUUAAAAAUUUUGUUUAUUUUUUCGUUUGUAUUCCCAUUUUUACUCAGAAUCAAAAUGGAAAUAAAGUAUCAUUUUUAUCUUAUAUUUCUAUAUGCAUCCAAAUAAAAGAAUUAAAAUUAUCAAAUUUAUUUCUAAGAAUGAAAACAAAAUAUUUAUUCACAUAUUUUUUGUUUCCACCGCCCAAGACGCAUGCUCUCAAGUCCAACAUAUGCAGCAUAGAGAUAGAAGAGGCUGCUGAAGAUGCAAUGAAAAGUGAGAAUUGGGAAUCCAAAGGAAUGUGGCAGCACAGCAUACAGCCCCGUCGUGAAUGCUACCACCAUUGCUCCCAUCCCAAACAGGGUGAGAUAAGAGGCAUAAAAAAACAAGUGUAGCCACGUCCUCAUAUUGAGGUCAUAAAACAGUGCAUGUUGCGCUGCCAUACUAAAAAAUAUGAAUACGGCACUUACCGAGAACGUCAGGGCUAUGGUAUCCGACACAACAAAUGCUUUGAAAGAUGCUUUCUUUGUUAAGAUUGCCAUCCCAUCUGUGUCGCUGUAACCACCAGGCAAGGUGAAGCCUGCCGCAAAGGUUACUGUUGCCGUAAGUGUUGCCACUAUCAAAUGGGAUAUACUUGCCUUUUUCACGGAAGAGAUGAUUUUGUCCUCCUCCUUAUCAUCGUCAUCUAUUUUGCCACCAUAUUUGCUGUCAUCCUUUCUGACGACGUGCUGCAAACUGGAAGGUCUAAAAGGCAGUCUUAAAUAUUUCUUAAAUCCUUCAAAUCGGUCAUCUACUUGUGCCUGCUGCGAACUGGAAGAUCUAAAAGGCCGUCUAAGAUAUUCCUUACUUCUCUCAUGUAGGUGAUAUAACUGCGGAGAUUCUAACGCAGAGAUCUGAAAUUUGAUCAGAGUAAAAUUCCUAUUAGAGAAAAACAGAAAAUUAUAUAUAUAUAUAUAAUGCAUGAGAAGAUCAAAUAAAUGGAUAUAUGAUUGACAAAUAGGAUAAAGUAAUAGAAAAUUUAGUUAAAAAGCCUUACCGUGCCACAUGAAAAUUUAUUCCGGGAAGAAAAAAAGUUGUCAGAAAAGUUUAACUUUUCUUUGUUCCGUUCCAUCUUAUCCACCGUUUUGUCCAAUAUGAAAUCUACAUCAUUAACUCCGAAAGAAGCAAGCAGGUGGAGGGGUGUGUCUCCUUGAGCAUCUUUCUCAUUUACAAGUCCUCUCACUCUUAAUCCAUCCUUUAUUAAUAGCUCACUACCAAAAUGAGAAGGGUGCUUCUUCAUCAUGGCAAAGUGAAAAACAUUAUUGCCAUUCUCAUCAACCUGCUCACAACAAUCUGGAGCGUGUGACAGCAGCAACUUUACUAUGUCCAUACAGCCAUUGUAACUUGCAAUGUGAAGGGCUGUUUUGUUGCUGUUUUUUAUUCCAAGGUAGAUUACAGACUUGUCUGGUGAUCUGUCCAGUAAUUGCUUGGUAAUUGCAGCGUCACGCAUGUAUGCAGCACAAUGAAGCGGAGACCAGCCAUUUUCAUCCACUUCGUUGAUUAGCAUUGGCUUCCAUCCUAGUAUCUUCUUUGUCAUUGCUGAUCAAAUAAAUAAAUGAAGAAAGAGAGGUCAAGGAAUAUUAAAGAAAAUUAAUUAUAAAAUGAAUAACCUAAUGCAUUACUAUAGGCCCUUAUAUGCACUACCUUGGUGACGGCAGAGUACAGCAGCAUGCAAAGCUGUUCUACCCUCGAUGCCUUUGUGAUCUGAUGAAGGGCUGGUGUCUAUGAUUAUUUCCACCAAGUCCCCAUAUUCUCUCUCGGCAGCCAUGUAAAGAGGAGUGUAGCCUGUACUGUUAGCACCAUAGAUGAACUGGGGGUCUGCCUCAAUCAAUAACUUCACCACUUUUGAGUGAUGAUACCGCACUGCCUCAUGCAAGGCUGUGUCUUUCUCCUUAUUUUCCAUCCUCAUCAUGGCCUGAUCUGCUCCAACCUCACUUUCCAUCUCUUGAAGUUCUUUUGCAGCAUCAAUUAGAGCUUUCACGACCCCCCAAUGCCCUUCCCUGGCUGAAAGGUGAAGUGGUGAGUCAAGCUUCAGAUUGGGAUGCCGCAGGAGAGAUGAACAUGAAUGAAAGUGAAGGAUCCAGUUUACGCAUUCCAACUGACCGAACUGAGCUGCAAUAUGGAGGACAGUGUUCUGUUUUGGGGUUCGUUGGAGUUGAAGAUGAGCUUCUGAGUACCUUCCCUGGAGGAUACUGAUAUCACCUUCAUACAAAGCCUUGUACAAGGCAGCAUCCAUGUGGGUGAUAUCAGUUUGGCCAUCAGCUGCAAUCUGUUUCGACAUCUCAGUUUGGCUUGAAAAUGUUUCCAAGUUAAGGUUCUGCGAUUCUGUAAUUUGGUGGGAGCUGGACAGAUCCAUUAUUGGUGUUGGAGGAACAAAGUAAUAAUCAACUCUCUACAUUCUAUCUAUCCAUCAUCUAUCUAUAUAUAUUUAUAUUUUGUGAACAAGUCCUUUCAAGCUUUUGUCCAUGAUUGAAAGAUAUUUUAUGUAAGAGCAUAUGUGGAAGGGUUCUUGUCCACGCAUGAAAGAUAUUUUAUUUAGAGCAUGUGGAAGGAAAAGUUGUUUGCACAUAUAUAUAUUUUUCUCUUUCUAUCUUUUCUGACAGUUCCCGUUUUUAAUCAAUUACUUGAUCAGAUUUUUAUGAUGGGAUUGUGAAGUCACUACAAAAUGGAUAGACAACUUUGGGCAACACCAAUAGGAGAUGCUUGUGGAAAAGGAUGAAGAAAAGCGCUUUGAAAAAUGGUUUUCUUACCCUGUUAUACAUUGUACAGCGUUUUCAACCAAUUCUCUAUUUUUCAAUUAUUCAAGCAUUCUACAAAAAAGAACACAAUAUAUAUAUAUAUAUAUAUAUAUAUAUAUAUAUAUCUUAAAUUUCUUCUUAAAAUUGAUAUUAUAUUCAAAAUAAAUUUUAAAAAAAGAAAAUUAUUUUCAGUCCAAAACCUAUUAAAGGUGUUUUGGAAAUUGAAAAAUGUUUUUCUUAAGAACAAAAUAUUGUUCUUAAACAAAUCACUUAUACAUGUCUUGAUCAAAAUAAUUCUCAAAAAAUAGUCUUUCAAAAUAAUUUUUAAAAAAAUUAUCAAUUGAAAAAAAGUUUUCUUAAUUCAUUCUCAUGUAAUGCAAUAAUUUCUAAAGUAUUCUUGAUAAUUUUAAUUAUUUGUUAUAAUACUUAACAAUUUUUUUUUUAAAUAUUGAAAAGACUUUAAAUUCAUUUUGAAAAAUAGCUUAUCUUAUGACAAAUUUUUUAAAAAUCAUUUUCUAUAUUUUCCUUUUUAUUAUUUUAUAAUCAUCAAUAUAUUUGUUCUAUUUUUAGAAACAAAAAUAAAACUAGAAUUAGGGAAGAUAAUAAAUAUUUUUUAAAGUUAAAAAAUGUAAUUAAAAAUUUAUUUAUACAAUCUACUUUUAAAAAUAGUACAAAUAGAUGUAUAAAUACAUAUUUCUUCUCCUUUCUCUUUUUUGGUAUUUUCUUUCUCUUUUUUAUUUAAUUGUUCUAUUCAAUAGAUUUCACUAAUUAUUAAUUAUUUAUUUAUUAAGUAGUAAUUGGUCCACUUCUCUCUCAUAUUUGGAUUAACUAAUUAAUUUGAUUUCCAUUGUAAGGGGACCCAACUAGUGGCAUUUCAAACAUGAAUCAAUGUCAAAUACUAAUGUUGAUAAAGACCAGGUAUCUACCAUAUCAAAGUGGUAGAAGAAUCACAAGGCCCUAUUACCUUUGUCAAGAUAUAUGUGUUGGCCGUACCAUAUUUGUUAAGAUGUAUGUGUUAAUAUCCCUGAAGCUUUAUCAUACAAAUUAAAAUAGUAAGUGGAAAUAUAUCAUAACACGACAAUUGUUUUUCUAUCAACGAUUGUUGUUUUGGAGAUGAGUAGUCCCUUUCAACUUAGAUUCACAAUCAUAGAUAUUUUGUAUAGCUUAUGUUUAUAUUUGAAAAUAUUUUAUUAAGAUAUAUAUAUAUAUAUAUAUAUAUUUAAUGAUUAAACAAAAGUAAAGGUAUCAAUUUGUUUUUCAUUCCUAAUUUAUUCAAUGUUAUUUUAAAACUCGAAAUUCACUCGUAUCUUUUUUUUUUAUUAAAUCAAAAUCAUCAAUAUCUCUAGCGUAACCAUUGGAAAAAUCAUGGAAACCUAUUGAAAAAUCAUUAAAAAAAUCUAUUAAUUGUGAUAAAGACCGGGUAUCCACUAUAUCAAAGUGGUAGAAGUAUCUUAAGGCCCUAUCACCUUUGUCAAGAUAUAUGUGUUGGCCCUACCACCUUUGUCAAGAUGUAUGUGUUAAUAUUCUCAAAACUUUAUCAUACAAAUUAAACAAUAAGUGGAAAUAUAUCAUAACAUAACAAUUGUUUUUUUGACAACAAUUGUUUUCUUUGUUAGAUGAGUAGUCCAUUUCAACAUAGGUUCACAAUCAUAGAUAUUUUUGUAUAACUUAUUUCUAUAUUCAAAGAUAUUUUAUGUCCAAUAUUGGUUAUAACUUUUUGGUAAUAUAUAAUAUAAAUCAAUAUCAAAUAUUAAUGUAUGAAGACUGAGUAUCUACCAUGUCAAAGGUGGAAUAAGUAUCUUAAGGCCCUAUCACCUUUGUCAAGAUGUAUGUAUUGGCCCUACCGCAUUUGUGAAGAUGUAUGUAUUAAUAUCGUUGAAGCUUUAUCAUAUAAACUAAAACAACAAGUGGGGAAAUAUAUCAUAACAUAAUAAUUGUUUUUUUAACAAUAAUUGUUUUUUUUGGAGAUAAGUAGUCCUUUUCAACUUAGGUUCACAAUCAUAGAUAUUUUUUUAUAGCUUAUGUCUAUAUUCAAUAAUAUUUUAUGCACAACAUUGGUUGUAAUUCAAUGUACUUUUCAACUUGAUUUCCAUCCAUUCCUUAGUGAAGAAAUAUUCUUUGAAUAUGUCCUCCUCCAAGGAUAUCACCAAAAAAUGCUCUGAAUUAGUCCAUUUUUCUUCCUCUUUUCUAUUUGAUUGGCCUAUUUGGUGGACAUUACUAAUUAUUAUUUAUUUUUGAAGUGUUAAUUGAUUCAUUUUUCUCUCAUAUUCAGACUAGCUAAUUAACUUUAUUUCCAUCCAUUCCUUAGUGAAGAAAAAUGUUUUGAAUAUGGCUUCCUCCAAGGAUAUCACCAAAAAUAUCUUUGCUAAAGAUCACUUGUGUCAAAAAAAAAAAAUGAAUACAUAUUUCUUCAUUUUUUUUUUUUAUUUAUCUCUCCCUUUUGGUAAAGAUCAUGAAAUCUCGUUACUAAAGCAAGAUCUGACAUCAUUUUAAGCUAUGGAUUUUACCCAAAAACUUAAGCUUAUAAUUCAAUCGGGUGACAAUACAUAUCAAGUCAUGAACUUGGCGUACACACACAUAAAUGCAAAGUGAUCAUUAUCUAUAUAUAUAACAUAUUACAUAACAAGUAAAUUAACCACAUAGAAAUCUUGGUUCAAGGAAUCAUCACACUAUCUUUGUUAUUUCGAAUAACAACGACAUGGAAAGCCGUUCUACUCAUGAUGCCAGUGUGAGUUGGUAAAGUGUGAGACUCAUCUAUGAUCUUUUCCACCAAGUCACCUUGUUGGAUAUGCAGAAGCGUUAAUACCCAAUUUGGUUGGAGUAAUGGGGUUGAUAGAAAGAAACACACAUGAAGAUAAAUUUAGGAAAAUUAAAAAUUUAUUAUCUUCUAUCACUCUCUUUUUGUCAUACAUUACAUAAUCUCCUAUUUAUAACUACUCACACUAAACAAAAUAGAAACUCCUAAUUCUAACAUAUAGAAACCUUCUAGGACUUAACAACUCAAAAAUAUAAACUAGUAAUUAGAACAACUACUCAAAAUAUAAUAUUCUCCUUUAACCUUUUAGAAACUAAAUUUAAUUUUAAUAUUUAGAAAGCUCCUAAUUCAAGUUUACUUUCCAACAUACCCCCUUAAACUUGAUUUGUGACUCUAAAUAACAUCCUCAACUCUAAAAAAUCAUCAAACUUGAGAGACUUGGUUAAAAUAUCCACAAUUUGAUCUUGAGAUUUUGCAAAUUUUAAUUGCAAUUCUUUUUUCGUUUAUCAACUAAAAAUGGGCCAAAUUUAGGGGUCAAGUUACUUAUGUGGAAGGUAUGAGAAUAACCCUUAGACACAUCUAAACAUGUUACUUAACGGUCUCUAAUAAAUAAUAAGAGAGACUUUAACAUUUAAUUAGUUAAUCAAUGUAUACAAAAGAAAUCAAGAAACUUGAUAUCUCACAUAUAAAGAUUAGAAAGUGGUUAAAACUGAUAAUGAAAGAAUCAUUAAAUUUUUUUCUUUUUAUUAUUUAUAAUCAACAAUAUAUUUUUCUAUUUUAUAUUUUUAAAAACAAAAAUAAAACUAGAAUUAAGGAAGAUAUUAAAUAUUUUUUAAAGUUAAAAAAUAUAAUUAAAAAUUUAUUUAUAUAUUCUACUUUUAAAAAUAGUACAAAUCGACGUAUGAAUACAUAUUUCUUCUCAUUUUUCCUUUUUGGUAUUUUCUUCUUCUUUUCUAUUUGCUUGGUUUAUUCAAUGGAUUUCACUAAUUAUUAUUUAUUUUUUUAAGUAGUAAUUGGUCCUCUUUUCUCUCAUAUUUGGAUUAGCUAAUUCACUUGAUUUUCAUCACAAGGACUUAACCCGUGGCAUUUCAAUUAUAAAUCAAUAUCAAAUAUUAAUAUUGAUAAAGACCGGGGAUAUGUCAUAUCAAAGUAGUAGAAGUAUUUUAAGACCCAACCACCUUUGUCAAGAUAUAUAUAUUAAUACCCUUCAAGCUUUUAUCAUACGAAGUAAAACAGUAAGUGAGAGAAUAUCAUAACACAACAAUUGUUCUUCUAUAGUCCCUUUCAACUUAGGUUCACAAUCAUAUAUAUAUAUUUUGUAUAACUUAUGUCAUAUUAAAAGAUAUUUUAUGUACAAUAUUGAUUGUUAUUUUGUCGGUAAUACUGUUUUUUUGGAGAUAUCCAUCUCUUUCAACUUAGAUUCACAGCCUAGAUAUUUUGUAUAGCUUAUGUCAUAUUCAAAGAUAUUUUAUCUACAAUUUUGAUCGUUACAUAUUUUGUUGGUAAUAUAUAUAUAUAUUUCAAAAGUAAAAAGGUAUCAAUUUGUUUUUCAUUCUUAAAUUUAUUUAAUGUAAUUUUAAAACUCAAAAUUUACUCUUUUUUUUUUAAUCAAAUCAAAACAUCAAUGUCUCUUGUGCAAACAUUGGAAAAAUAAUGGAAACCUAUUUAAAAAAAUUCUACUAAUUGUGAUAUAAUUACAAAUAAAAAAUAAAAAAAAAAUCUAUUUUUGAAAAAAAAAGUGAAAAAAGAAUUUUUUUUUACAGAAAUAUUUAAUAUUUAUUUAUUUUUUGAAAUAUAUAUAAAUAAAACAUUAUUUGUAUUUUUACUUUUAAAAAUAAUACAAAACAAAAAUAUAUCUAGAUGAACCUAAGGAUAUCACCACAGUCUAAAUAUAUUCUAGUUUUGUGCGUAACCCCCCACAAAACAUUCCAAGAUGAUAUUAUUUUAUUAGAAAAGUAUCUUGAAGUCAUUACUAACUUUUGCUAUUCACGUAUGUCCAUAUCCAACUCAAGAUUUGUAUUAAAGAACAAGUCUCUCAAAUACUUUGUUGUAGUUGAUUAAUUAUUGGAUGCACCAUAAGAUUAAUAAGACACUUUGAGAUGAUGUAUAUUCUGGUGUGAUUUUAGAGGAGUGUUGUCUUUUAUAUUAGUUCCCUUCCAUAAGCAAACUCUAAGUCUUCCUUGAUAAAAAACCUUACAACAUUAAGGUGAUUUAUUUUUUAGAGGAGUGUGUAGGGACCCCUCCCUCUGAUAGCACGUGGCACACAUCUCCUGAUGACGCGUGACACACAUUCUCAUCCGGAUCAACCUCAUCCGGAUUUUCCUAAGAGUACACGUGGCGCGCUUCUCCUAUCCGGACUACUUUGAGGAGAGGCACACGACACUCACAAACAUAACAUCCAGACAACUUCCACAACGCAUCCGGACGACCGACAUAUGCUAUCCGGAUACGUUUGUCUGGAUCAUUGACUGAAGUAAGCAAGUCUUACACGUUAUCACAACAACCUGCCAUGGCCCACGUUCCGCCACCUACAGAGUGAAAGGACAAGAAUGAAGUGACGGCAAGUCACUUCCCACGAUCACUUCCCAUGAUCACCUACCAUGAUCUCUGUCAGCCACCCGUAGGGUGAUGAUGACCCUGCCACCACCUAGUGUCAUCAUGACAACACAAAAUAUUUCCCUACCAUUAAAGAGGGAAACAAAGCCUCUGAUACUAUAUAUAUGAACCUUCAUACAAAGAGGAAGGUAAGCUCGCUAUACCUAGUAAAAGGUCAACUGAUUUAUCUUUCUCUCUAACCAUGGCUGACAAAACCAUCGGAAGGUACGUCCGGACACCCUGUCUGGACGCCUUUUGCAGGUAGUACAACUGAAUCAAGAAUCUAUAUUAGUUGAGAUCGUGCAUCUAUCCAUUUGGCAACUACGUGGAUCACCAAGGACACGAGGCCUCAACAUUGGCGCCGUCUGUGGAAAAUUUUUCGCUGAUUCAGUCACUAGCAAAGAUGGCCACACCUUCUCAAAGCCGUUCAUCUGGUAAAAGAGAGGAAGAUAACUCUGAAUGGCGCCGAGCCAUCGAAAGAAGACAGUUGGCAAGCGAACGACAACUGAAAGCUCUCCUCCAGGAGACAGAAAGAUUAAGAGAAGAAAACGCGGUAUUACGCAUCCAGGCUUCAACAUCAGGGCCUCCUCAUCGCUAGCAUUCAAGAGGCCAAGUAGCAAACUCAAGGCCAAAACCAGAGUCAAUAUAUCCUGGGACAGUUGGAGCUCUCCUAGAAACAGGCAACGUGAGGCCACAUGAGCCACACACGCCCAUACCUCGAGCUCCUCAUGAGGAAAGCUCGGACUCUACUCAUUUUUCAGCAAAAAGGCAACGCGAUAGAAAAUCCCAGUUGUCAAAUUCAAUGCGCGCGAGACUAGGCCCACAAGAGCCUGGAAAACCAAGGCCACCAGUAGCCACAACCUGGGCAGCACGCCCUGACCCUAUGGUCACCCCCAUGGUGCAGAACGUGCUCCUGCACCGUGACCCUAUGGUCACCCCCAUGGUGCGGAACGUUCACUCGCACCUAGCGGUACGACAAGAUGGGAGAAACCUCCCAAACGAGCCACCCAUUGGCUCCAUCAGCAAAAGGCUGGACGACAUGCUCUCCACGCCUUUCUACUCUCAUAUCAUCCAUUACGAGCCCCCAAGGGGAUUCCUCGUACCAAAAUUUUCCACAUACGAUGGGUCCAAUGACCCCUUUGAUCAUAUCAUGCAUUAUCGACAGCUCAUGACGCUCGAUAUUGGCAACGACGCGCUACGAUGCAAAGUAUUCCCCGCCAGCCUACAAGGGCAGGCCCUCUCAUGGUUUCAUCACCUACCUCCCAACUCUGUUGACAAUUUCAGGGACCUGUCCGAAGCCUUUGUGGGGCAAUACUUGUGCUCCGCUCGACACAAGCAGAAUAUCAGCACUCUGCAAAACAUAAAAAUGCGAGAUAAUGAAUCCUUAAGGGAGUUCGUAAAGCGGUUUGGUCAAGCCGUACUUCAGGUAGAGGCUUGCAGGAUGGAUGCUGUCCUGCAGAUCUUCAAACGAAGCAUCUAUCCAGGCACCCCAUUUUUCGAAUCGCUAGCUAAAAAGCCUCCUACAACGAUGGACGACUUGUUCAGACGUGCAAACAAAUACUCAAUGCUCGAAGAUGAUGUACGAGCAGCCACCCAGCAAGUCUUAGUUGCUGGACAAGCAUCUAGAAGUGGCAUGGAAAGAAGUGCCAAACUUCUGGACCGGCCAAGGCCGUCCGACCGAAGACAGGAGGGGCCAAGUCACCCGGAAAGGCAACCCCUCACGCUUCUUUCCAUAUCAUAUGAAAAACUUCUCCCUAUGAUCCAAGGCUUGUCCGACUUCAGGUGGCCUAGACCCCAAGGAACGGACCCAUCCAAAAGAGAUCAUAGCAAGAGGUGUGUCUUCCACAAGGAACAUGGUCACACAACAGAGACAUGCAGGUGCCUCCAGUAUCUGGUCGAGAGGCUCAUCAAGGUAGGACAUUUAAAGCAAUACCUCCGCUCAGAUACUGGAGGAAGAGACGCUUCCCAAAAUCACAACUCUAGAGCCCCUAGGGCCCCAGCCGCCACCAAGGCCGUUAUAAACUAUAUUAACGGAGGCCCAUCUAACGAGGAGUAUGACUCCAAAUGAAAGAGGCAAAAGUUGUUGCGGGCUGCAUCAGUACGCGAACGUAUCAACUCCAUCCGGCCUGGAUUAACUGGAGGGGGCUCUUGCCCCAUAGAUGGGACAAUCAUUUUCCCACCGGUAGACCCCACCCGGACACUGCAGCCACACCGCGACGCCCUCAUCCUAUCCCUAGAGAUAGGAGACUUCGACGUGAGACGCAUUUUGGUUGACCCAGGCAGCUCGACCAAUCUUGUGCAAGCAUCGAUCGUUACCCACAUGGGGCACAGUCUCACGAGCCUUGAAAACCCUGGGCGAAUCCUAUCCGGAUUCAACGGGUCAUCAACUACGUCCUUGGAAGACAUUGUACUGCCGGUCCAAGCUGGCCCAGUCACUCUCAACGUACAAUUUUCGGUGGUACAAGAUUUAUCACCCUUCAAUAUCAUCUUAGGGCGCAUAUGGCUACACUACAUGAAAGUCAUCCCCUCUACAUAUCACCAAAUGGUAAGUUUCCUUACCAAGGAUGGGCAAAUUGAUCUAUAUGGCAGUCAGUUAGCCGCUCGCCAAUGCUACCAAAUAGCACGAGAAAUAGGGACCAGCCAGGAGGAUGCAUCCCUCCCUGAGUCCGGCAAUGCACAUAAUCAAUAGCUAUUAUUGGGUCCGGUGGACAAAGAUCCCCCGACAGCAGAUCCCUUGCAAACAAUCCAAAUUUCGGAAGAAGGAACUCACCUUACGAAUAUCAGUUCCCUUCUGACACCGGAAGAGACCCAGAACAUGCAAAACUCCCUCAGACAAAACCAUGACAUCUUCGCAUAGGCACAUUCUGAUAUGAAGGGAAUUCAUCCCUCCAUUACUUCUCAUAAGCUUAACGUCUUGCCAACAACCAGACCCAUCCGGCAGAAGGUUAGGCGUUUUCACCCGGACAGACAGAAAAUUAUCCGGAGUGAGAUUGACAAAUUGCUAGAAGUCGGAUUCAUUAGAGAAGUCGAUUACUCGGACUGGUUGGCAAAUGUAGUAGUGGUACCCAAAAAAGAAGGCAAAUGGCGUGUGUGCGUCGACUACACCAACCUCAAUAAUGCAUGCCCAAAAGACAGUUUUCCUUUGCCACGAAUAGAUCAGAUUGUGGAUUCCACUACUGGGCAAGGGAUGCUCUCUUUCCUGCACGCUUUCUCCGGAUAUCACCAAAUUCCUAUGUCCCCGGCUAACGAAGAAAAAACAGCAUUCAUAACGCCACACGGUCUCUAUUGCUACAAGGUCAUGCCAUUCGGACUCAAAAAUGCAGGCGCCACUUAUUAGAGACUGAUGACAAAGAUCUUCAAACCUCUGAUAGGCCACACGGUAGAGAUAUAUAUUGAUGAUAUCGUGGUUAAAAGCAAAACCCAAGAGGAGCAUGUCCUCCACUUGCAAGAAGUUUUUCACCUUUUGAGGAAGUAUGACAUGAAGCUAAAUCCUUUUAAAUGCGCCUUUGGCGUAAGUGCUGGCAAAUUUCUGGGAUUUAUGGUCAGCCAAAGAGGGAUAGAGGUUAGCCCGGAUCAAGUCAAGGCAGUCAUGGAAACACCUCCCCCCAAGAGCAAGAAAGAGUUACAACGCCUCACAGGCAAACUCGUCGCACUAGGGCGUUUUAUAGCCCGCUUCAUUGAUGAAUUGCGACCCUUCUUCUUGGCAAUACGAAAAGCUGGAGCAAACGGAUGGACAGACAGCUGUCAGAACGCUUUUGAAAAUAUCAAACACUGCCUUAUGCAGCCGCCCAUCCUAAGCAGUCCCAUCCCUAAAGAGAAAUUGUACAUGUAUCUGGCUGUAUCAGAGUGGGCAAUUAGUGCUGUUCUAUUCCGCUGCCCCUCACCCAAGGAGUAGAAACCUAUUUACUACGUCAGUAGAGCGUUGGCGGACGUAGAAACCAGGUAUUCAAAAAUGGAGCUAACAGCCUUAGCCCUUCGGAGCGCCGCCCAGAAGCUCCGCCCCUAUUACUCGGUGGUCGUGUUAACUGACCAACCCCUCUGUAACAUUCUCCACAAGCCAGACUUAACCGGAAGAAUGCUUCAAUGGGCCAUCGAAUUGAGCGAAUUUGGAAUCGAGUUCCAACCCAGAUUGUCCAUGAAAGGCCAAGUAAUGGCUGACUUCGUACUGGAAUACUCUCAAAGGCCCAGCCAACGCCAGGAACCAAAUGAAGAAAAAUGGUGGACUUUGCGGGUCGAUGGAGCCUCACGAUCAUUAGGGUCCGGAGUUGGGCUUCUGCUACAGCCCCCAAUAGGGGAACAUCUGGAGCAAGCCAUCCGGUCGGGAUUCCCCGCCUCCAACAAUGAAGCAGAAUACGAAGCCAUCCUAUCCGGAUUGGACCUCGCCCUGGCUCUAUCCGUCUCCAAGCUCCGUGUUUAUAGCGAUUCUCAACUUGUGGUCAGGCACGUCCAGAAGGAAUAUGAAGCUAAAUAUGAGCGCAUGGCGCGAUACCUGGCUAAAGUAAGGGACACCUUGCAACAAUUCACCGAGUGGACAAUCGAAAAAAUCAGACGAAUUGAAAAUGGACGUGCCGACGCCCUAGCAGGCAUAGCUGUCUCCCUCCCCAUCAAAGAACCCAUAUUGUUGCCUAUACAUGUGCAAGCCAACUCUUCCGUCGCGGAAACCUCCAUUUGCAAUACCAUUGAGGCAAGCCAAGCAGAUAGCCAAGAAUGGACGAACGACAUUAUAGGGUACCUCCGGACAGGCGCUCUGCCCGGAGAUCCCAAACAGGCACACAAAAUCCGAGUGCGAGCUGCCCGUUUCACCUUGAUUGGGGGGCACUUGUACAAGCGAUCCUUCACAGGUCCCUAUCUCCGGUGCCUAAACCAUUCAGAAGCCCUAUAUGUGUUAGCAGAAUUGCACGAGGGAGUAUGUGGAAAUCAUUCUGGAGGACGAUCUCUAGCGCACAGGGCCCAUUCUCAAGGAUAUUAUUGGCCCACGAUGAAGAAUGAUGCGGCAGCCUACGUCAAAAAAUGCGACAAAUGUCAACGACAUGCCCCCAUACCACACAUGCCGUCGGAGACGUUGAAACCAAUUUCAGGUCCCUGGCCCUUCGUGCAGUGGGGUAUGGAUAUAAUAGGACCCUUACCAACCGCACCUGCUCAGAAGAAAUUCCUACUUGUUGCCACAGAUUACUUCAGUAAAUGGGUAGAAGCCGAAGCAUACGCUAGCAUCAAAGACAAGGAUGUCACCAAGUUCGUAUGGAAAAACAUCAUCUGCCGCUUUAGAAUCCCUCAAACCAUCAUAGCCGACAACGGUCCAUAGUUUGACAGCAUCGCAUUCCGGAAUUUAUGUUCAGAACUAAGCAUCCGGAAUACAUACUCCACACCGCGUUAUCCUCAAAGUAAUGGACAAGCAGAAGCCACAAACAAGACUCUAAUCACUGCCUUAAAGAAAAGGCUUGAGCAAGCCAAAGGAAAAUGGGUGGAGGAGUUACCCGGCGUCCUGUGGGCUUAUCGAACCACACCCGGACGGUCGAGAGGAAACACUCCCUUCGCCCUCGCAUAUGGUAUGGACGUAGUCAUUCCUACCGAAAUAGGGCUACCCACUAUCCGGACUAAGGCAGCAAAGCAGGAUGAUGCAGAUGCAGAGUUAGGAAGAAACUUGGACUGGGCAGAUGAAGUAAGGGAAAGCGUAUCCAUUCGGAUGACAGACUAUCAACAAAGGGCAUCCGCUCAUUACAAUCGCAAAGUAAGGCCCAGAAGCUUCAAAAAUGGUAUGUUGGUCCUUAGAAAAGUUUUUGAAAAUACUACUGAAACAGGAGCAGGAAAAUUUCAAGCCAACUGGGAAGGCCCCUACAUAGUAUCCAAAGCAAGUGAGAGUGGAGCUUAUCAUCUACAAAAGCUAGACGGAACUCCAUUACUCAGACCAUGGAAUGUGUCUAAUUUAAAGCAGUAUUAUCAAUAAAAGAAAGAGACAAGCACAAAUAUGAAGAAAUAUGUUUCAUUAAUAUUUGUGAAAAUUGUAUACAAAAAGUUCUCCGGACUACAAAAAUACAGAGAGAAGAUUGCAGUAAAAAUUACAAAAAGAAAAGCUCUCAUGGAGUAGGCUUGUCGAGUAGCUUCUUCUCUUCACCCGGAGGAAUUAAAGGGAUGUCCCGCUUGAUGCCAUGUUUCUUCAUACAGCAGCGAUAGCCGAAGAAGAACAUUUCAUCUACUUGCUUCUGGUAGUCCGCUUCAAGCUUCUCCCUCUCUACAGCAAACUCACCCUCCAACUCUUCUUUUUGCGCUGAUAAACGUAGCUGCAAGUCUUCUCUUUGCUUUUUCUCAAUAGAUACCUCCGUCCGGAGUUGCCUCACCUCCCCCCUCAGGUGGGCCAUCUCAUCCUCCGCCUCAUGCAGGCGGGCAUCCAUCGAUUCCUCCCGGCUCUUUGCCUUAGCUAAAUCUGCCCGGAGAGCCUCGUUGUCUCCUCGAAUGGCAGAUAAACUGGCUUCAGCCUCCUCCAGUCUCAAGCGCAACGUAUCUUCACUAUUUCUGCGCUGAGAGGUGAAGACCUUCAUGUAAUCAGCGGUCCGCAGCAAGUCAGUAAACAAGUCAUGUUGUUGGGCCAUGCCGCGAAGACCGCUCACCAGCUGCAGGUGAACACACAAAACAAGAGCAAAGUUACAAACCAUACCACAAGCACAUCAGUAUGACAAAGAAAAUGAAGAAGUAAACUAUACCGUUUCCACCACUUCGAACAUUUUUGCUGAAGGCAUGGCAAUAUCCGAGCCGGGUGGAAUCCGUUUCAGCUUCUCUUCUAACUCCGCGUAGCUGAAAGCGCUAGCAGAGAUGCAAGAUGCAUUAUCAACAGGAUUUCCCCUUGAUGAAGCAUUGGAGAAUGACCCCUCCUCCGGGUCUGGGGCCCUAUCAGUCUCGGCUGGCUGGGUCACUCCGGGUGAAACCCCAUCCGGGACCACCACCGGGGCGGGUGGGUUCUCUGCUGCCAUCUCCGCCUCGCUCUCCUCCGGAUGAUCAUCCUAGACGGACGAGCAACUGACUUCGAUGGUUUCCAAGAACCGAUCUUGAAGCCGCCCGAUGAGGCAGGACUUUAAGUUACGCGCCGAAUGCGACUUCCUUGAAACUGGCCCCUUCACCAGUACAAGGGCAAGAGGGCUUGACCUGCAAGGAGGCAAACCUUGGCUUUCUGCCCCCACUUCUUCCCUUGGGGGUGCCGAAAGAGGCGAUGCGGCCGCACAAUAAGCCCCGGCUGCAUCUGCAUCCGGAUGGGGAGAACCGGGCUGAUUUAUUGAAGUCGCCUCCUCAGCCAGCAGAGCCAGGCAUUCAGCCGCCAACAGUAAAGACCCCGAGUGGUUCAAACCCGCGAGAUGUCCGGGACCACUUGAAAUAGAGGGCAAGGGGGGAACCUCCGGCUCUCUUAUUAUUACCUCAUUCACAUAAGUUGAAGAAGGAAUUACAAACUCCUUUGGAGGAGUGGGGAGUUUCACUUCCUUCACCUUAUUUGAAACCUUCUUCUUCUUCUUUGCUGGAGCACCAGCAGGUGGAGAAGACGCGGGCCGUUUGCCACCCGGAGCCUUCCGCAAGAGCCCUUCUUUCAUUUUUACCUCCCGAUUAGUGAGGCGGGCUUUGCGUGUCCGGGCGUCUGCCUUCUGCACCGCCGCGUAGAAGGGCAGAUCUUGAAGAACGAAGUGCUCCCCAGCCACAACCUCUUCAAGCAUCCGCCUUGGGAGUAUGUUCAGCACGUACGACUGAGGCUCCCGGGUGACCGAACGGAGGUUCUACGCGGAAAGCAGCAUGUCACAACUCCGCUCGGCCGCCGCAAUCUCAAAGAGCCUGUUCAAACGAUCGAACGAGGCCUUCUCCACCCACUCCACCAAUCUCCCCCUUUUAUCCUGGCAUGCACCCAAGAAAGCAAAAGUAUGUCAGCAACCCAACAAUGCUGACCUACAUUCACAAAACAUGGAAAGACAAGAAAUAAUUUAAUCAUACCGGGGACCUUCAACGAUUGGUUGGGAGUGAAUGGCCUGUCCGGAUGCUCCGCCAAACCCGCCCAUACGCCCUUGACCAACACAUGUCCCUUCGCGGCCCCCUUGGUCGAGUCCGGCAGAUUGAUCACCAACUACAUGGACGGAAGGCAAGCAACAAAGCUGAAGAUGUCAGUCUUCAGCUUCUUGAUCGAAUAAAUAAAAAGAACCUCCAGCAUUGAGAGGUCCAAGUUGAACAGCAUGUUCAGGAUGCUGCACCCCAUCAGCACCCGGACCAUGUUAGGAUGAAUAUACGCCGGAGGAAUCUGGGUGAAGUGCAGAAACUCCUUGAACAAAGACGGCAGGGGAAACCGGAACCCAGCGUUGAACUGCUCCUUGCUAAAGAAAAUAGCAUGGUCUUCAUUGUUCUCAGUCGAUACAGCCUCCCCGUCAGUAAGUUCAACAAAUACACCGUUGGGAAUGCAGAACCGUUCGCGGAACUCCUUCGCACUCAAUUUAUCCACAGACUUUUUGGCAUGAGCAUCGCCGCAUGGGCCAGAUGAGGUCGCUUCCUGGUUCGUAGACAUUUUUUCCAGCUUCAUAAAUCUGCAUGGAAGAAGUACCAACAGUCAAAACACAACAAACUGGUCCCACAACCCUAAACGACAAAAACUCUCAGACAAACCCCACAUCGCCAGUAUCCCCAUCCCAAAACCUUGACUCUACCCCAAAGAAAAACCUCCAACCCACAAAAGACGCAGGGGGGCAACAGAAACACUAAGCACACCCAAAAACACAGUCCAUACCCCCCCUCCCUCCACCCACCGGAAAACCCUAGAAACCAAAAAACACCAAUAUCCACACACACAGUCGCAAGCAACUUGCCCAAGCAAACCAGCAACAACCGACAACGACAAAAGCAAACCAAAGGAAAAGACAAGACAAACGAACGUACCAAGUAAAAACAGGGAAAAUAGGGUUGAACAUCGCAAAUGCAGUCAUCGGUACAACGCGAAAAUCAUCGGUAGAAAAUUCUAGGGCUUCACUCAGAAAACGAAGGUACGCAGAAGGUAGAAGAAGAAACACUCUCAGAAAGAAACGCAGUAGGAAAGAUGCAAUAGAAGGCACAGUAUGCUAUUUAUAGGGCGACAACCCCUCAGUAUAUCAAACGCUCAGCUACGCCAUCAUUGAAACGACAUGCUGCCUGGGAAUACACAGAGACGACGGCUCAUCAUAAAUGCUCUUCUCUCUCUUUGCCCCCGCUCGCCACGUGGCCCAAUGAGCGCAAAAAAUAACAUCAGUUUCAAAAAACCAAUUAUUUUUAACCCGCCCAUUUUUUGCUCAGGCAAAAUAGGCAAGUUAAAAAGGGGGCAUUAUAGGGACCCCUCCCUCUGAUAGCACGUGGCACACAUCUCCUGAUGACGCGUGGCACACAUUCUCAUCCGGAUCAACUUCAUCCGGAUUUUCCUAAGAGUACACGUGGCGCGCUUCUCCUAUGUGAACUACUUCGAGGAGAGGCACACGACACUCACAAACAUAACAUCCAGACAACUUCCACAACGCAUCCGAACGACCGACAUAUGCUAUCCGGAUACGUUUGUCCGGAUCAUUGACUGAAGUAAGCAAGUCUUAGACGUUAUCACAACAACCUGCCAUAGCCCACGUUCCGCCACCUACAGAGUGAAAGGACAAGAAUGAAGUGACGGCAAGUCAUUUCCCACGAUCACUUCCCACGAUCACCUACCACGAUCUCUGUUAGCCGCCUGUAGGGUGAUGAUGAUCCCGCCACCACCUAGUGUCAUCAUGACAACACAAAAUAUCUCCCUACCAUUAAAGAGGGAAACAAAGCCUCUGAUACUAUAUAUAUGAACCUUCAUACAAAGAGGAAGGUAAGCUCGCUAUACCUAGUAAAAGGUCAACUGAUUUAUCUCUCUCUCUAACCAUGGCUAACAAAACCAUCGGAGGGUGCGUCCGGACACCCUGUCCGGACGUCUUUUGCAGGUAGUACAACUGAAUCAAGAAUCUAUAUUGGUUGAGAUCGUGCGUCUAUCCAUUUGGCAACUACGUGGAUCACCAAGGACACGAGGCCUCAACAGAGUGUUUUGGUAAAAGUGCAUGGCUCUUUCAAAGUUAUAUCCAUAUUUUCAAAGUUCCCUGUCUAAAUAGGAUUUUCUUUUUCUUUCUAUCAUGGAUAGGAAUAGCUUGUAAAGAUUUAGGAAAAUAAUUUUUUUUUUAAUAAAUUUUAAUAUAUGUUAGAUUUAAAAUAAAAAGUUAUACUCACAAGUCAUCCAUUAUUUUAUGCCUUUUGUCAAAUUUAACAAUAUUGAUGCCUUAAAUGUGAAAGUUGAAAAUUUAUCCAAAAAAAUGUUUUUUUUUUGUUAUACUGUCAAAUACCUUUUUUCCUUGUAUUAAAAAAGAGAAAAUAAACUUAGGAUUACAAAUUAUAUUUUCCAAAAAUUUUAGAAAAUAUGUAUUUCUAAUUGGGCUGUGUUGUAGUAUGUGGCUCAUAUUGAGGGAAAGACAUAUAUGGAGAAAAUGGGCAAAUAUCGGAGUGAAACAACAACAUUUGUCAUUCAAGCUUGUAUUUUUAUUGUUAAGGGCAAACGAUAGGUUGAGGGGUUUUAAUUUCAUUACAUGAAGGUUAGUAUAAAUAUCCUUUUAUGUAACUCUAAUUUGAUAUAUAGUAAAAAUCUUCUUCCUUAUUCCCAUGGACGUAGGGCAAUCCAUCGAACCACGUUAAAUCUAUGUGUUUAUUUUGUUUUUCUCUAAUUUCUUCACCAGGAAUCGUUGCAUGAAGACCAACAUGUUGUUAUGUACAAUAGUGAUGAAGGCGAACACACCUAAAGAAUCCGCUGGACCAAAUACAUCCCACUUGCCCUUUUUUUUUUUUUCCAAUGCUUUAAAUAUCAAUUUGUUGGGCAAUUAAAAAUUUCUUUCAAGUAAUUUUAAAACUUACAAGUCAUCCAUAUUUAUUGUUUUUUAUAACCAAAUCAAGAAACUUGGUAUCUUUCAUGCAAAGAUUACAAAGUGGUCAAAACCCAUUAAAAUUAAAAAAAAAAAAUCAUUAAUUUUUUAAUUUUUAAUAUUAUAUAAUUAUCAAUACAUAUUUUUAUUUUAAAAACAAAAAUAAAAUUAGAUUUAACUAAGAAAGAUAUUAAUAUUUAUAAAAUUAAAAAAUGUAAUUAAAAAUUUAUUUACAUACUUUUAAAAAUAGUAAAAAUAGAAUUAUGAAUACAUCUCUUCUCAUUUUUGGUAAAAAUAACUAGUAUUAAGGAAAUUAUGAAUACAUGUUUCUUCCUCUUUUCCUCUUUUAUUGUUUUCUUCCUCUUUUCUAUUUGAUUUGCCUAUUGGUGAAUGUCACUAAUUAUAAUUCAUUUCUUAAGUUGUAAUUGGUUCAUUUCUUAAAAUUUUCCGCCAAAUUGAUGGAAAACGUCAGGCCAAAAGUAUAUAUACUUUAUCACCAUUCUUUAUAAAAGAAAAAGAAAUUCUUAACCAAAAAAAAAAAAAAAACCAUGGUUUAAUAUUAAUAGUCUAACAAAAAUAUUAGGAGCUAAAUUAGGACAUAAAUAAAAAUAUAAAUCAAAUUGGAAAACAAAAAUUAGCGCCCUUAGGUCAUUUUUUUUUUGUACUUAAUUUAAAAAAAAUAAUAAUUAAAGAACUUUUUUUUUAAAAUUUUUUUUUAUAAUCUUAGAGUGUUUGGUAAGUUAUUUUUUAAAAAUAGUUUUAAAAAUAAAAAAUAAAACUUGUUUAGAUAAGUUGCUUUCAAAAAUAAUUUCUUUAUUUUGAUUUUGUAAAAACACUAUAAAUUUAAUUUAUAUAAUAUCAUAGUGUCAUGCACGACAUGGAGACUCUUGGAUCUUGGUCCACUAGGCGUACAACUGAAUCAUUGCAUUUGAAAAAAUGAAAUGAAUAUAAAACGUCCACUAGGCGUACAACUGAAUCAUUGCAUUUGAAAAAAUGAAAUGAAUAUAAAACGUCCACUAGAGGAAAGUGACUUGGGACCACAGCAUUGUGGAGGCAUUCGCACCCUGUUCCCUUUGCUGUAGUAAUAUAAGACGCAGAGGCGGUGGAUUAUGGUGUUGUGAAAGAUUUGAGAGAGGUGGAGACGGCUGUAGAGCUUAAGCACACCCAUGGAUCCAUCCACAUCCACUUCCACUUCCAACCAUGCUUUAGAAUUACAGAACCUUAACUCAGUUUCUAGUGCGAACCAGGAGGAUGUCACAUACAUGCCUCCUAAAAUUUACAGGGCUGCAGCACAAGGCUCCACCGAUAUUAUCCGCAGGAGAAUGCCCAGAGCUGUCCAUUAUUUAACACCCAAUAAGAACACUAUCCUCCACAUUGCAGCCCAAUUCGGUCAACCGAAGUGCGUUGAAUGGAUCAUUCGACAUUACAGUGGGGAUUCAUCCCCACUGCAGUGGCCCAAUCUGAAAGGGGACUCCCCCCUCCACCUUGCGGCGAGAGAAGGGCAUCUAGAGGUCGUGAAGACUAUUAUUCAUGCUGCGAAAACAGUUUCCGAAAGAGAUAUUGAGAGUGGGAUUGGAGUGGAUAAGGCCAUGCUGAGGAUGGCCAACAAUGAGCAUGACACAGCCUUGCAUGAGGCAGUCCAGUAUCAUCAUCCGGAGGUGGUGAAGUGGUUGAUCGAGGAAGAUCCCGAGUUUACAUAUGGUGCUAACUUUUCUGGUGGGACUCCUCUAUACAUGGCUGCUGAGAGAGGGUUUAGAGACUUGGUGAAAAUAAUCAUAGAGAACACUAAUCGCGAUCGACUGGCUCACACUGGCCCCAUGGGUAGAACAGCUUUGCACGCAGCUGUGAUUUGCCGUGACCCAAGUAGGCAUAUUCUUUUCCUGAAUCUACCAUAUUUCCUAUGUGGUUUAUUCAUUAAUAUUACAGGUAUAACAUAUAUAGUGUUGAAUAACAAGUUUUAACCUAGCUAAACUAUGGGGUUACAAUUUCUUCAUAACUUCUAAUCUUUCUCAAAAAAUAUUUUGAUAAAUUUGUUUGAGUAUAUAUAUAUAUAUAUAUAUAUAUAUAUAUAUAUAUAUAUAUAUAUAUAUGCUUGGUGGUUGAUUGUUUCAGCUGUUUAAAUGUUAUAUUCCAAAUAGUUGAGUUACUUUUUAACCUGACAUGCAUGAUUAAAUAUGAGAAGACUAAAGAAAACUUGUUUCUUAAUUUCUUAUACUCUUCUAAUUUUUUUCUUUCUUUUCAUUUUAUGUAUGUGUUGAUCAGUAAUGGUAAAAGAAAUUCUGAGAUGGAAGUCAGAUCUAAGAAAAGAAGUGGAUGAAAAUGGGUGGUCUCCACUUCACUGCGCUGCAUACUUGGGUUAUGUUCCAAUAGCGAGGCAAUUGCUUCAUAAAUCUGAUAAUUCUGUAGUCUACCUAAGGGUCAAAAACUAUGACAACAAGACAGCUCUUCAUAUUGCAGCCACCCGUGGAAACAAGCUCAUAGCAAAACUGUUGAUGUCACGCUAUCCAGAUUGUUGUGAGCAAGUGGAUGUUAAUGGAAAUAAUGUUGUUCACUUAUUCAUGAUGCAAAGAAGAUGUUUCAGAAGCUUCAUAAAGAUUCCCUGGAUGAAUGUGAGAGCACUUAUAAAUGAGAAGAAUGUUGAAGGACAAACACCUCUCCAUCUGCUCGCCCAUUCCCAGCUGAGAUGUCGUUCUUUCAUAUUGAAAAAGGAAGUGGAUAAGAUGGCACUUAACAACCAAAACUCAACUGCUUUGGACGUAAUUUUACUGGCCGAGGAUUUAUUUGGAAAAAAGGUAAGCAUGUCUGUCUAACUUUAUUAAUUUCCCAAAUAGCAAGGAAAUGGUGAUCUGCUCCAUUAAUUGAAGCCAAGGUACUGUAUACUCUGUUUUCUCUGAUUAAAUUUCAGGAUUUUAUCAUAUCAACACUGAAAAGGGCCAAAGCUAGAGUCGGGCCUUUGUUUUGGCAGAAGGCUAUGAGGAAAGACAAGGACAAGAAAAACGAGGACAAGAAAGACGAGGACAUGAGCCAAAGCAAACGUAGUAAAGGUUUAGACACCUCUUUCUUAAGGGAAGCAGGUCAGAGCCAUUUGAUUGUGGCCGCACUUGUCGCGACUGUAUCGUUCGCAGCAGGUUUUACACUGCCCGGCGGUUAUAAGGAUGGUGACGGCAUGGCCAUUUUAAGCAACAAUCCAGCUUUUAAAGCAUUUGUUGUGUCUGAUUCCCUGGCUCUGGUGCUCUCUGUGACUGCUGUAUUGUUUUCUUUUUAUACUGCAUUGGCUAAAACAAAGAAGCGAGUCAAUUUAUUUGUAAGGCCGGCGUAUUGGCUCACCAAGUUGGGUGUAGGAGCAAUGGUGGUAGCAUUCUUUACCGGCUUAUACACCGUACUGCCGCAUCACUCAGGGAUUGCAAUUUCUACUUUUAUCAUCUGCAUCUGCUGUUCAGUUUUCAGCAUAAUCUCUGGUUCGGUACCCCAAAGGUGGAUCACAAAAUGUACUAAAUUUAGGUCACGUUGAGAAUCUCACAAUCAUAUAUGUGUUUGAUAUAUACAAAGAAUAUUGGAUGAGGAAAUUAUCAGUAAAUCAGAAUCGUGUGUUAACAUUUAUAUAACUAAUUUUAAUUAUAUUUUAUUUUCUUUGAUAUUUUUAAUAGUACUACAACCAAACAUUAAAAAUAAUAACCUUUUUUAACAUUUUUUUCAUAAUGCUUUUGAAGAAUCAAACAUAACCUUAAUGUUAAAAUUGAAUAGAAUAUAAUUAUUUUGUAUCCGUAAAAACUUGCUACUUUGACAAACUAGAGAUAAUUUUUAUGUUAUCAACAAUUGUGAAGUUGGGUCAAUUUAAAGCUAAAUCAAUUUCCCAAACAUCAACAAAUAAAAACAAAAUUAAAUAGUCAAAUAUCUUAUUUUUCUAGAGUUGGAAGUACAUCUAAACACUGCAAUUGUUUUUCUAGAGGUAAGUAGUUCCUUUCAAUUUAAGUCCAAUUUCAAAGAUAUUUUCUAUAGCUCUACAUUUCACAUUCUAUAUAUUUUGUGAGCAAUUCUCUUCAAGCUUUUGCCCAUGAUUUAAAGAUAUUUUAUGUAGAGCAUAUGUGGAAGGGAAAGUUGUUUGCACGUAUAUAUUUUUCCGUGUCUUUCUUGUGAAGUUUUUCUGUCUUUUUAGACAUCUCCCAUUUUUAUUUACUUGAUGAGAUUUUUAUCCAAUCACACUCCCGCCUCAAUAAUUUGGCUAUAUUAAACCCAUUUAACACCAUUUUAUUAUUUAUUUUUCUAAAUUGUAAUGCUUCAUAUUUCUCUCAUAUUUGAACCAACCAAUCAGCUUCGUUUCACGCUCAUUCCUUGAUUCACCCAUUUGAUAAGUGACUUUCAAUCAUAAAUCAAUAUAGAAUAUUAAUAAUAAGAAAGGUCAGUCGAUACCUACCAUAUCAAAGGGUGGAUGUGUGUUAAAUUCCUUCCAGCGUUAUUAUAAGAAGCUGUCUAGAGAUGAGUCGUUGCUUUCAAAUCAUGUCCAUAUUUCUGAGAUAUUUUAUGUAACUUAAGUCCAUAUUCAAAGAUAUUUUAAGUAAAACAUGGGUGUAGAGGAAAGUUACUUACUCAAAUACCAUAUUCUCUUCUAUGGAUAAGAUAAUGUUUGGUUCUAAUUUCAUAUGUAGUAUAAUUUUAAUUCUUAAUUUUAAGAAAAUAAUAAAAAUAAAAAUAAACAGUAAAUAAAAGAUUCAUUCCCAAAUUUGUUUAAAGUGAUUUUAAAUAUCACAACUCAUUCUCAUUAUAUUUAUAAUGCAAUCAAGUAACUUGCUGUCUCACAUGUAAAGAUUAAAAUGUGGUCAAAACUUAUCAAAAGAAUCAUUAAAUAUUUUUCUAUUUAUUGUUAUAUAAUCAUCAUUAUAUUUUUGUGUAUUUUUAAAAACAAAAAUAAAACUAGUUUUAAGAAAAAUAUUAAGUAUUUUUAAAAGCUAAAAUUCAAUUGAAAAUUUAUUUAUAUAUUCUACUUUUGAAAAUAGUGAAAACCAAAGCAUAUUUAAAUGCAUUUUUUUUCCUCUUUUAUAUCUUUUGUGCACAUAUUGACUUUUCACAAGAAAAUGGACAAAGCAGCUAUGGGAAUAAAAAAAUAGAAAAUGUUUAUGGUAUCAAAACCUAGUUAUGUUUUUUAUAAAAGGAAGAAAAAAAUGAAUGAAUUAUAUAUAUAUAUUAAGGAUCAAUGUGAGGUAAAAUCCCAAGGAUAUUACCAAAAAUAUUUUGGUAAAGAUCACCGGAGUCAAGGAAAUAAUGAGCACAUAUUUAUUAUUAUUAUUAUUAUUAUUAUUAUUAUUAUUAUUAUUAUUAUUAUUUUCAUAUUUUGUUUCUAUUUUCUAUUUGAUUGGCUUAUUUGGUGAUGUUACUAAACAUUUUUUUAUGAGGUAGUUGGUUAGUUUUUCUUUCAUAUUUGGACUCACUAAUUAACUUUAUUUUCAUCCAUUCCUUAAUGAAGAAAAAUGCUUUGAAUAUGUCCUUCUCUAUGGACAUCACCAAAAUUUUCUGGUAAAGAGCACUAGUGCGAAGGAAAUUAUGAAUAUAUAUUCGUUGCCACCGACACACCCCCCACUUCCCUUAUUCCUUUCGGUAUUUUCUUCUUCUUUUUAUUUUAUUGGCCUAUCUAUAGGACGCUACUAAUUAUUGUUUAUUUUUUAAGUCGUAAUUAGUCCUUGUUUCUCUCAUAUUUGAACUAGCUAAUUAACUUGAUUUUCAUUCAUUCCUUAGUGAAGAAAAAUGUGAAUUAGUCCAUUUUUCCUCCCUUUGAUUAAUGGUCCAUUUGGAGGACAUUACAAAUUAUUAUUUAUUUUUUAAGCGGUAAUUGGUCCAUUUUUCUCUCAUAUUUAGACUAACUAAUUAACUUGGUUUCCAUCCAUUACUUAGCAAAGAAAAAUGCUUUGAAUUUGUCCUCCUCCACGAAUAUCUCAAAAAAUAAUUUGGCAAAGAUGACCAAUAUCAAGGAAAUUAUGAAUAUAUAUUUUUUCCUUUUUUAUUUAUUUAUUUUGCAAUUCUCUUCCUUUGUUCUAUUUGACUAACCUAUUUGGUGGACGUUACUAGUUAUUAUUUAUUUUUUAAGUGAUAAUUAGUGUUUUUUUUCUCUCAUUUGGAUUAGUUGAUUAACUAGAUUUCAAUCCACUCCUUAGUGAAUUGGCAUUUGAAACAUAAGUCUAUAUCAAAUGUUAAUAAUCAUAAAGACUGAUCUACCAUAUCAAAUUGGUAGAUUGGCCCUAAAACCCAACUAGCUCAAUCAAGAUAUGUGACAUCCCACAUCGGAUAGGGGAGAAAGUUCUUGGUGCUAUAUAAGUAUGGACUUCUCGUAACCCUAUAGACACUUUUUAAAGUCGUGAGGAUUCCUUUGGAUUCAAAGUAGACAAUAUCUAAACGGUUAGGAGUGGGUCAUUACAAAUGGUAUCAAAGUCGAUCCCCGACCUCGGUGUGGGGUUUGUUUGGCUCCAUAAGGGUGUUUGUCUGUUUGGGUCCACAAUCCUGUGGGACACAACGAGGACAUUGUGUCUGCAUGGGGGGGUGUUUGUGACAUCCCACAUCAGAUAGAGGGGGAAAGCUCCUGGUGUUAUAUAAGUAUGACUCCUCGUAACCCUGUAGACGCGUUUUAAAGUCGUGAGGGUUCCUUUGGGUUCAAAGCGGACAAUAUCUACACAGUUGGGAAUGAGUCCUUAUUUUAUUUUCCCAUGUGUGAUGAUGAUGUGCUCUCAUCCCAGUAUUUCAAGUCGAGCAUGUCAAUCCCUUCAUUCCACCGCUAGGUUUUGAUCCAGGAGUCUUAGUUUGGGAGAUCCAUUCGAGUUUGGGGUUUGAGAGUCACUUGUUAGAUUGUGCUGGUGUAGCCUUCAGCUUACUUGGUUUGUGGCGUCAUUGUUAAAAAAAAAAAAAAAAAAAAAAAAAGAAUAAGCUUGUUCCCUGUUCACUUCAUUGAUGUUUGAGUUAACCUUGUUAGCCUUUAGUAUCACGGCUCAGUCAUCAAAUGUCGUUUUACGUAAAAGGAAUUUUAUUUUUCUUUUGAGAGUGAGUGAGAGCAUUGUAUGAUCUAUUUUUGCAUGGUUCUGGGAGAUACGUUGGGAGUGAGGAUUGGGUUUCCUUAGUGUUGGGUCCCCUGGAUCAUUAUCUACAUCACCAUUCUCAUCCUACUGUGGCCUGCUUCGACCUGUCAUUAUUGGGGUGAGUUGUUCAUGGUUAUCACACAUUGCCAUGUUUUCUAUCCCGGUUAUUUUCACUAUUUUCCUCUGCACUCCUUCAUCAUUUGUCUCAUCCCUUUGUGUUUUUCUUCUGCCCUCGUUAAUCGUCGUUUUACUUCUUGAACGGCGUGCCCUCUAGUGUUUAUAACUUGUCAUUUUGCAUUGUUCAUUUGUAUAUAGAUUGAGUCACUAGGCUCACACGAUUUUCCGGUAACUGACAUUGCGCACUCAAAGGCUUGGUAUUAUCUUUUGGCUAUUUGAGCCUUGUUUCCCCAUUGUUUCAUUCACCUUUUACCCUGACCUUCAUUAUGGUCUAAGUCGUAAGACCACCCUGAGGCCACGAGAUCUCAUGUUCGCUUCGACAUAUUUCAUUUAGACAGGCUCCGUCUACUAGUUGAAGUACGGGAUAUCGGUCAACCUCCAUUUCUUGAGGAUAUCGAGGAAUUGCAUAAUGCUUUCUCCAUUCGAUCUUCUCGCCCCUAGGCCAUGAUCAGAGACAGAUGAUGUAGAGAGUUGGGACUAUCGAGGACACCUUUGCUUAUUGCUUUGACAUGUUCAUACUGGGGCAUACCCCCUUACCCUUGCAUGAUGACAUCAGUUCUUACAUGUACACAUACGAUCCCUCUCACCUAAAGAGGUUUAGCAUCGGUGUUUGGGACGCACUCCACAUUCAGCCUGGAUUCUUCAUAUAGCAGAGUGCUUCCGUGGCUUGCCCGAGAUCAAAUUCAUCCAUAUUCAUUGACAUAACAGGAGUGUACACUAGGGCAUAUCCUAUGCAUUGUCAUGUUCGCGUGUUCAGACGGAUGAUGGUCUUUGGAGAUGCAUUUUCAUAGUUGGUUCACCAGAAAAUACAUAUGACAGGUGUACAUCCAGGGGCAUUCCCCUUAACAGCUCUGUGGACACCAGAUGUUGUGAAAAAUAGUGCAUGAUUUGUUAUGGAUGAUUAUAUGUGAUGCUUUCAGCUCUUUGAUUUUAACCGCAUGUGCAAUUACGGGAUUUUGACAUGGUAUAGAUAUCCUAGACUGGGGAAUAUCCCCCCCUUUUCGACAUGGUAUUGAUAUCCUAGACUGAAGCAUACCCCCUUCUCUUUCCACCUCCCGUUGAUCCCUGAUGUUUGUGUAUCAUCUUGCAAUGGCACUCCCCCUUAUUUCAACGUGAUUUAGGUGUUUGAUUACUUACUUAUUCGAGUCAUUUAUUAGUAUUUCCUAGAAGUCAUACUAGGGCAUACCCUCUCUCUCUUUGAGUUAUUUGCUCCCCUAUCUUUUUGGCAGCUCUCCAGCAUCAUGUCCGGACCCCUUUUCAUUUCGACGGCUCUCCGGCAUCGUGUCCGAAUCCCCUAUAGUUUUGGCGGCUCUCCGGGAUCAUGUUCGGAUCCCCUAUAUUUUCAACAGCUCUUCGACAUCGUGUCUGAAUCCUUUUUUUUUUUGGCGACUCUCCGGCAUCGUGGUCGGAUCCCCUAUAGUUUCAAUGGCUCUCUGGCAUCGUUUCUGGAUCCCCUAUAGUAUCGACGAUUCUCCGGCAUCGUGUGUGGAUCCCCUAUAGUUUUUUAGGCUCUUCAAUAUCGUGUUUGGAUCCCCUAUCUUUUUGGCGGCUCUCCGGCAUCAUGUCCAGAUUCCCUAUCUUUUCGGCGGCUCUCCAGCACCGUGUCUAGAUCCAUUAUAGUUUUAGAGGCUCUCUGGCAUCGUGUUCGGAUCCUCUACAGUUUCAAAGGCUCUUCGACAUCGUGUCUGAAUCCCCUAUCUUUUCAGCGACUCUCCGGCAUCGUGUUUGGAUCCCCUAUCUUUUCGGUGACUCUCCAGCACCAUGUCCAAAUCCUUUUAUCUUUUCGAUUGCUCUUCGACAUCGCGUCCGGAUCCUUUUUUUUUCGGCGGUUCUCCGACAUCGUGUCCAGAUCCCUUAUAGUUUCGACGGCUCUCCAACAUCGUGUUCGGAUCCCCUAUCGUUUUGGUGGAUGUUCGACAUCGUGCCUAAGUUCCUUUUCGUUUCGGCGGCUCUCCGGCAUCGUGUUUGGAUCUCUUUAUCUUUUCAGCGGCUCUUCGACAUCGCGUUUGGAUCCCCUAUAGUUUUCGACGGCUCUCCAGCAUUGUGCCCAAAUCCCCUAUCUUUUCGAUGACUCUCCGACAUCAUGCCCAGAUCCCUUUAUCUUUUCAGUGGCUCUCCAGCAUCAUGUCCGGAUCCCUUUAUCUUUUCAACGACUCUCCGGCAUCGUGUCCGGAUCCUUUUUCUUUUCAACGGCUCUCCGGCAUCGUGUCCAGAUCCCCUAUCUUUUUAACAGCUCUGCAGCAUCGUGCUUGGAUCCCUUUGUCUUUUCAACGGCUCUCCGUCAUCGUGUCAGGAUCCUUUUUCUUUUCGAUGGCUCUCCGACAUUGUGCUCGAAUCCUCUUUCUUUUCAACGGCUCUCUAACAUCGUGUCUGAAUCUCUUUAUCUUUUCGACGGCUCUCUGACAUCGUUCCAGGAUCCCUUUAUCUUUUCAGCGGCUCUCCAGCAUCGUGUCCAGAUCCUUUUAUCUUUUCACUGGCUCUUUAGCAUUGUGUUCGGAUCCUUUUUCUUUUCAGCGACUCUUCAACAUCGUGUCCGGAUCCCUUUUUGUUUCGACGGAUCUCCGGCAUCGUGUCCGAAUCCCUUAUCAUUUUAGUGGCUUUCUGACAUCGUGCUCGGAUCCCUUGUCUUUUUAAUGGUUCUCUGGCAUCACGUCCGGAUCCCUUAGUCCUUAGUCAUUGGGACCUAGCUCUUUUGGACUUCGGUAUUGUUGUGUGAUGACAAAAUUGUUGGCCUUUGAUUUCUUCACUAGAGUUUAUUUCUACUCAUUCAUCACUAGCGCUUCGUGCUCAUGAACCAUUUGUUCAUUCACUCUACUAAAGAAGGGCAUAUUUGUAGACCCUCAACUUUGUCCUUUGUCACUUGCAUGUAUCUUGGGGGUGUCGCCUGCACCCAAUUUAUGUAUAUCACGACCAUGGAGCCCUUGUUGGGCAUAAUCAAUUUUCGAACCUCACAUGAGUUCAUUUAUGGUUCGAUUUAGUGAGUGUUUAGUCCAUUAUGAAAUGCCGUCGUGGCUAAUUCCUUGGUUCAUAUCAUGCUACAGGUCAGGAGUUAGGGUCUCCAUAAAGAUUUCAGUUCAGUUAAAGCUCUUGAAGCUCAUCUAAGUCGGGAGCACUUUGUUCUGGUUAUUAAUUUCAUGUGCGUGCUAAAUAUCAACUAAGAUUGCAUGAGUUCUAUCUUCUAUGUAACCUGGGGUAAUUGACUUAUCUUCGACCCAUAUGCUCCGAUGUACCCAAUUCACCAAUAGAGACCGGAUCUCGGGCCUAGAGGGGUGCUACCUCGCAUCAGGUACCUUCCUAAUAGAUAACCUGAUCCCCGGACCCAGAAAUCUAGUUUCGCGGACCGCUUUUUCCUAAUUGGAGUCAUUAAGGGGUUUUUGUUCUUACUUAAUUUUCCUCAUUUCAAAAAUAAAAAUAAAAAGUAAGUGGCAACUCCAAACAAAAAACCGUUCUUCAUCGGGGACAUAUUUUUCAAAACUCAAAGACCACACUUUUUCUCCACACUCACAUUACUGUUUUAAUUUGCUAGUAGCGCCAGAUUUAUUUUUUUAGUAUCAAUUUCCAAAAAUUUUCAAAAGUUUUGAAAAGUCUGGAUUUAGUUUUUUAGCAUCAAUUUCCAAAAGUUUUGAAAAGUCCAGAUUUAUUUUUUUUAGUGUCAAUAUUCAAAAGUUUCAAAAAUUUCGGAUUUAAUUUUUUAGUGUCAUUUCCAAAAAUUUCUAAAGUUUUGAAAAGUCUAGAUUUAUUUUUUUAGCAUCUAUUUCCAAAAAUUUCCAAAAUUCUCAAAGUCCAAAUUUAGUUUUUUUUUUGCAUCAAUUUUCAAAAAUUUCCAAAGUUGCAAAAGUCCGGAUUCAAUUUUUUAGUGUCAUUUUCAAAAAUUUCCAAAGUUUCCAAAAUUCCGGUUAUUAGAGGUAGAAGCUCAAACGGGAAAGAGGUUAGUUCUCAGCUGAAAACUAAUGGAAUGGGAGUAACUAAAUUUUAGCCACGUAGUCCUGAGUCAUGGCUGCGCUUGGUGGCCAUUGAAUAAAACCUAAAGAUUACAUAUAUAUGGUUUGGUCAUGGCUGAAACUUUUAAUAAAUUUGAAAUUUGAAUAUAUUGUGUGCUUGUGCUUAUUGACUAACCCUUUCUUGCAACGCAUGGCUGGGGACCUUAGGUACACAACUUUGUUCUCGUUAUUAAUUUCCUAUGCGUGCUAAAUAUCAACUAAGAUUGCAUGAGUCCUGUCAUCUAUGUAAUUGGGGGAAAUUGACUGAUCUUUGACCCAUAUGCUUCAAUGUACCCAAUUCACUAGUAGAGACCGGAUCCCGAACCUAGAAGGGUGUUACCUCGCAUGAGGUACCUUCCUAAUAGGUAACCUGAUCCCUGGACCCAAAAAUCUAGUUUCGCAGACCGCUUUUUCUUAACUAAAGUCAUUAAGGGGUUUUUGUUCUUAUUUAAUUUUCCUCAUUUCAAAAAUAAGAAUAAAAAGUAAAUGGCGACUCCAAACAAAACCGUUCCUCAUCGGGGAAGGAUUUUUCAAAACUCGAAAACUUUUUUUUUUCUUUACACAUACGAUUAUUGUUUUAAUUUGCGAGUCGCACCGGUUGGUGGAUCGAGGAAGGGUCCACAACUUUUUUAAAUGGUUUGAUAAAUGAAGAAGUAUAUGUUAAACAACCACCUAAUUUUCAAAGUUUUAAAUUUCCUAACCAUAUUUUUAAACUUAAAAAUGCACUUUAUGGUCUAAACAAGCACUUAGAGCUUGGUAUGAAAUAUUGAAUAAAUUUCUUUUAAAAAAGGGUUUUAAAAUGGAAAAAAUUGGCAUAACUCUUUUCAUAAAAACCAAAGAAAAUGAUAUGCUCUUAGUUCAAAUAUAUGUUGAUGAUAUCAUUUUUUGUGUUACUAAUGUCUCUCUUUGUGAAGAAUUUUCUAAGUGCAUGCAUAGUGAGUUCGAAAUGAGCAUGAUGGGAGAACUCAACUUCUUCCUUGGAUUUCAAUCAAGUAACUAAAGGAAGGAACCUUCAUCAAUCAAGCAAAGUACAUAAGAGAUUUUCUCAAAAGGUUCAACAUGGAAGAAACCAAAACAAUGAAGACUCCAAUGAGCUCAUCCAUCAAGAUAAGGAUGGGAAAAGUAAAUCCAUUGAGUCUACUAUGUAUAGAGGCAUGAUAGGUUCUUUGCUAUAUUUGACCAUUAGUAGACCCGACAUUAUGUAUAGUGUAUACUUGUGUGCUAGAUUUCAAUCUUGUCCUAAAAAAUCUCACUUAAGUGUCGUAAAAAGAAUUCUUAAAUAUUUGAAAGGGACAAUGAACAUAGGCUUAUGGUAUCUUAAGAGUGAUAACUUUGAAUUAAUUGGAUUUUCGGAUGUCGAUUUUCCCGGUUGUAAGGUUGAAAGAAAAAACACUAGUGACACUUGUCACUUCUUAGGACACUCACUUGUUUCAAGGCAUAGUAAGAAGCAAAAUUCGGUAGCUUUGUCAACAGUGGAAGCCGAAUACAUAGCAGCCGGUUUAUGUUGUGCACAAAUCCUUUGGAUGAAACAAACAGUUAGUGAUUUUAAUUUAUCUUUUGAGCAUGUUCCUAUUAAAUGUGAUAAUACUAGUGUCAUAAGUAUAUCAAAAAAUCCCGUGCAACACUCUAAGACUAAGCAUAUAGAAAUUAGACAUCAUUUUCUUAGAGAUCAUGCACAAAAGGGUGACAUAACACUUGAGUUUGUAAGCACAAAAGAUCAACUUGUCGAUAUCUUUACAAAACCUCUAAGUGAAGAACAAUUUGUUAACAUUAGAAGACAACUAGGGGUAAUUUCUUUAUAAUCUAAUAAUUGCUUAAUAAUUUCUUAAUGAAUACACCUUCUGAUUGCAUGAAUUUCAUGUCAUAUGCAUCAUAUAGACAUAUACUUUGAAAAUGGUCAAAUUUUGGACCAAAAAUCAAAAUUCUUUUGGCAUUGAGCAUCAAAAAUUGGGAAUUUCAACUAAAAAGGGCAAGGGGGAGACCACAGAACGAGAAAAUGCACAAAAAUUGAAAAGUCAAAGCGUUGACCUCGUUGACCAAGCGGUUGAUCAGGACCAGGACUGAUCGAUCGGUUGAUCGGGGUUAGGGCUUUUAAGUGACUCUCGCGCUUCAUUUUCUCGCCUGUUUCCUCUAGUUCUUCAAGAGCUCUGCCGAUUCAAUUGUCAAAGAGUGAUUUUUGAGGUCAUAGCAGCAAACUGAAGGCUUUGGAUUGGAUUUUUGGGAAGAUCGAAGGCUAGGGUUUUGGUUUUUGAUUGCAUUCUCUUCCUCUUGCGUGUCACAGUCAGCUUCCUCUCCAUUUCCAGGUGCUUAGGGUUUCAGUUGUGAAUGUUUCUCUCUCUACCAGCCCAUUUUCCAUUGUUUCAUUCUUUCUUAUGGCUCCUAGAUGAGAGUUGGCUGCCUCUAGGGCAUAAGACAAGCACCUAGCUAAGCUGUCUCAACCAUCUUAGCCAAAGGCUCACUGAAAGGCAAGGUUUGACACCGCUUUGUUCAGUUCCAUGGAGGACUACUAGCGGCACAAGCAACACUUUGCUCAAAGAAAAGUAGUUUCGGGAAGAAAUAUUAUUUUUUCCCAACUUCAGUAUUUUGGAUUCAAGGGAAUUUUCACUAGGAUGGGUUGGUUGCCCGUGGUGAAUUUUUCAGGUUCGAUUUUCCCGACUUUGGUGCGAGCGUUUUACUCGAGGAAAACUUAUGGAUUGGGUAGCCCAAUUAUUUCUACUGUUAGAGGAGUCGAGAUCCGUCUGGACCCAGAGAGCAUCUGCUGCAUUUUUUAUAUUGCUCCGAUUGGACUCAGAGUGUACAAGUCCAAGAUUUGGCCUACUGUUCCGAGAUUUGAGCCUAGAGAGGCUAUUCAAAGGAUUUACGAACUUGUAGACACCUAAGGGAUGGAAAAACACUAGACCCACAACUUGACCAUCAUUUGAAGAGUACUACACCACAUGAUAUGCUCUAUCCUUCUACCAUGGGGCGAACACCAAGACGAGGUCUCUUAUUAUGAGGCAUUCUUCAUUGACUCGUUUCUUACUAGAAGACGGAUCCACUUGGUGUACUUAAUGAUGAUGCACAUGAUCUCAUGUUACGACAGCACGACCCUCGUACUCCCCUAUGGUCGCUUUCUCACCAGAGUGUUGAAGGAUAUUGGCAUUGACUUGAGCAGAGAGAUAGACUUUGAGGCCCCUUGUGCUUAUGACACGUAUGAUGAUCGAUCGAUGGGGCCAGUGAAAUUUGAGAAGGCUCUUGAUGGUUCUUGGGUAAGGAAAAUAGAGAUAGCACUUGCAAAGGCUUAGAGAUAGGGGCAAGUGCAUCUCGAAGUUGGGGAAGAGGCCAAGAUACGAGAGAUGGAGAGUGAAAUAAACCCUCGGAGUAGCUUUCAGUAGAGAGAGCCCGAGCUUGACAUUCAUCCACUCCAGUCAGAGGGUGUUCAAUUUGAGGCUACCUUUUAUGAGCCGAUGAUGUCUAAGCCGACUUAUAUAGUGGGUCCAUCUACUUAACCGACAUUCACUAAGCCUCAUCACAUUGAGAUACCACCUCAUCAGGCACUUCUCGCUCCUAACCAUGCUCCUUGGAUAGAUCUAUCUACUCAAAUUAGCUCUCUAGGCACUCGCAUGGAGGAGCUUGUUGUAGUCAGUGAUACUUGGUUCUACUCCAUGAAGGAUCGCAUGGAUCAGUAUCAGUCUGGCUUCACUUCUCGAUUUGAGUGUAUUGAGGAUCGUAUAGAUCAUUAUCAGGCUGUCUUCACCUCACAAUUUGAGCAUCUCUAGUAGAGGAUUAAGCACAUUGAGGAUCGUCUGGAGAGUCAACAUGAGGAGAUGAUGGCUUACAUGCGCUCUGUGUUUGCAUUUCCACCUCCUUAGCCUUGAUUUCGUAGAGACCCCAUUUAUUCUAUUUUUUAUGUUGCCAAAAAGGGGAGAUAUUUUAGGAUCUAGGAGACUUACAUCCAUAUCAUCACCAUUGCACUUACAUUAUCAUAUCAUCACUUGGAUUGUAAAUGUUGGAUUGUGAUACAUUUGACUUAUAUAUGAUAUGCUUAUAUGUUUCAUGACUUAAACUGUUUCUCUCUAGCAUGUCUUGAUUAUCUUGGUUUAACUUCGUAAAUUUUGAUUGUUGACCCAUGAUUGGUUUGAGGGGGAGAUUCUUCUUCUCCUAGAUAACCAAGGUUUGUCAUCAUAAAAAAUGGGGAGAUUGUUAGCCCAAGGGUUCUCCUAAUCAGGUUUUGAUCAUAACAAACCAUGGUUAAGUUACUAAUUGAUUUGAAUUAUAAAGAAUUUCAAGUAUUAAUUUGAAAAUUCAUCAAAUGACUUAAUGGAUGCAAGAUCAAGACUUUUGGAAGACCUUUAAUCAUAGGAAACAAAUUUAAGAUGAAUGCAUGGGUGCACUUAGGUUUUACAUAUCAUUUCAUGCAUAUUUCAAAAACUUGGUUUAUUCUUUAAAGUUACAUUUCCAUCAAAACCCAAGUUUUAUCAAAUGUGCCUUAGGCAAAACAUUUCAAAAUUGACAUAUUAAUUUACCUAAAGACCUUGCCUAAGUGUCUGAAGAGAAAAAAAACAGAGAAAGAUAGGUUUUUGGGCAAAAAAUGGUAAACCGAUCGAGGCACUGGCCAACCGGCUCAAUCGGCCAGGGUACCGAUCAACCAGUUCCCUAUUCCCAGUCGAGGUCCAAUCGAGGAAUGCAAAAAACACUUUCUUUAUUCCAGUAGAAUUUUAUUUCUGGUUUAGGUAUUUGCCUUCCCGGUUGACCUCUGGUCGAGGUUCGAUUGAAGCAACGAUAACCUGCCAAAGCAUUAAAUACUCCAACGGCUAAUGAACCAAUUGACCCCCAACUCGACCAGUUGAGGCUACUUUUUGGUUUUCUUGGCUCUCGAGGUUAGAGCUAUAAAUAAAGAGUUUCACUUCAUUUAUGAGCAAGAGAACACCUGGAUUUAUUUGUCUACCCACUUGUUCUUGCCUUAAAAGCUCUCAUUUCUUUCUUGGUGCAUUAAAUCUUCACUUGCAUAUCGUUUAGUGCCCUUUUGUGAUUCAUCCUAGCCUUGAGUUGUAUUUGAACUAUUGUUGAGCUAGGUUAAGAGAUUCAUAUUUGUAAAUUGAGUGUUAAAGUCUUUAAGUGAGUUGAAACUUGAAGAGAUUGUGUAAGAACUCAUUGGAGUCGGAAUCCAAGUGUAAAGGUGAUUAAAAGUUUGGUUGAAGCUUCAAGUUAGUAGAACUCUCACUCAGUUAGGAGCCUGAGGAGAGUGGACGUAGGUAAGGAAGUGUCGAAUCACUAUAAAACCUGAAUUUGAUUUCUCUUACCUUAUCUCUUUUUAUUUGCUUAUUUUGUGCUAAAAUUUGUUAUGUGUUUAAAAAGAUUUUUUUUAAUUCCAAUUCACCCCCCCCCCCCCCCCNNNNNNNNNNNNNNNNNNNNNNNNNNNNNNNNNNNNNNNNNNNNNNNNNNNNNNNNNNNNNNNNNNNNNNNNNNNNNNNNNNNNNNNNNNNNNNNNNNNNCCCCCCCCCCCCCCCCCCCCCCCCCCCCUCUUGGGUGUUUUCUCUUUUAAAGAUUAGCCUUUAUUUUCUCAAGAGUAUUUCUUAUUACAUGCUUAAACUACCAAUAACCUAAUUCAUAGGAAAAAUAUGAUUACUUUGAGAUUUCACCCAUAGGUCAAAACCACUAAUAACCUAAACUCUAGUACAAUAAUCUCUCAAGAUUAUAACCCAGCAACAUAGUAUAUUGGAGAAGUCAAGUCAAUAGUCAUUUAAUCACAACUCUUUAUGGAUUAUGUUCAAUGUUUAAUAAUACACACUAAUACAUUCACUAUGCGAAAAUCAUCAACAAUGAACAAGACUAGUCACUCCACUAUUUAUAGGUAGUAUACCGUUAACAUUUUUUGAAUUACAAGAAAAUUUGAUACAUUUUUUUCCUUUUUAAAUACUUAUGAAUUAUAUAUAUAUAUAUAUGUAUGUAUGUAUAUAAUUAUGAGAUGUGAUCGUUAUACAUCUAUAAGAUUAUAUAUAUGUGGGACUCAUAGGGAGUUAAUUUCUGUCCAUUUAUGUUUUAAUUUUUCUCUAUUUAUGUUUAACAUUUCAUUUGGAUGUCACAAGAACAAUACAAAAGGAAAAAAAAAAAAGGAAAAAGACUAAAAUGAAAAAGAUAAAGGAAGGAUUCUUCAAUUUUUAUUUAAUUUUGAGAGAAUGAAUUAAUUUUUAUUUUUAUUUUUUAAAUGAUUGAGCUCACUGGUAGUAGCUAAAGUUGCUAGUCCAUUUUUCACUUCUGCAGCUUUGCUUAAGAAGUGUGUAGAUCAGCUUUUUUUUUUUUCUCUCUUUCUCCCUUUUUCUUUUUUAUUUUCUAGGCUAGAAGGAGUAUUUGCUGAUAUGGUGGGAACAUUUGGAUACAAUACUUUUGCAAUAAUUGAUAGGUUGGAUGUAAGAAAACAAAAAGAAAUAGCUACACUAGCUCAUGACAAAACUUAAAAGAACUGUAAAAUUUCAUUUAAAUGUUAGACAAUAACAAGAAAUAAUCCUUAAUUUGUUUUAUUCAUUUUUUGGAGGAUGAUUUAAAUUAAAGAAAAUAAAAUUGAUGAGCUCCCUAGCUAGUUGCAAGUGAAGUUGCCAGCUUGUUUAUACUUCUCUUUUCUUUUGAAAUGAAUGGGUAAUAACUUGAAUUUUUGUGUAUUCCUUGAGUGAGAUUAGCCCCCAUUUGUACUCACCAAGGGGAGAAUGGAGUACUUGUAGGUUUGGUGGGACAUUUGGAUUUGAAUUUGCAAUUAUUGGAUAUUUGGAUAUGUAAAUUAAUAAUUUCACUCCCAUAAAGACAAUUGGAUCUUACCAAUUGCAAAUAGAACAAUUAGCACAUCCUGAGAAAAGGUUAAAAAAGCAAAUAAUAAUAAUAAUAAUUACAAAGCAGGCUUAAAAGAAAAUUAUUUCUAGUGCUGGAAGAAAAGGCAUUCUUACCGCACCCCAAGAUCUGCUAUUUGCCCAACUGUAAAAUUGAAAACAUAAGGUCCCACUAUUGCCUAAUAGCUUUUCUAAGUUGUCUAAAUACAAAAUAAAAUGCAAGGAGAAAGAAGCAACAGAUGAUACAAGUAACGAUUGGAAGCCCAGAGGAAAGUGGUAACACAGCGUAUAUGCCCGUCAUGAAUGCAACCACCAUUGCUCCCAUACCAAACAUAGUGAGAAAAGCUUCUGUGGUUAAGUGUUCUCCGAUUAGUUCCUCGUUCCUAUGCGACAAUAUAGGAAAAUAAACAAACGCUGGAGAUACAGAGAGCGUCACGGCUAUAGUGUCCGCCACAACAAAUGCUUUGAAAGCUGCUUUCUUUGUUAAAAUUGUCAUCCCAUCAUUGUCAUUGUAACCACCAGGCAAGGUGAAACCCGCUGCAAAGGUUACAGUUGCUAUAAGUGCUGCCACUAUCAAAUGGUCUUUACCUACUCUCUUUAUGUUACAGAUGUGUGUCUCUAAGUCUAAGUAACCGAAAGCUUCUGCCUGCUAUGAUGUCUUCGCUUUCAUUAGUACCACCAUUGUCUUGUCGGGUUUUGCAACUAGUACUAGAAUUCUCCUCGUCUUUAUUGAUAGUCCCUUGCCAACUGAAGGGUCCGACAACAACUUUCUUCCAUUCCUCCAAUUGUUUUACCAGUUCCGCCUGAAAUUUUAUUUAUAAAAACACAAGAAAAUUGUUGUCACUAUUUUGGCCUUCGGCACUUCUUUUUAACUUUUCCCACCUUCUCUCACAACAAAGGAAAAUGGAUGAUUAAUAAUAGAUAAACUAAUAAAAAUAUUAAGUUAGGAGGCUAACCCCGAACUUUUGUCCCAACUUAAUGUUUUCCCUUGAAAGAAUGUCUAGGGUAGUUAACUUGUCGUCGUCGAGUGCCAUUUUAUCCACUGUAUUGUCCAUUGAGGAAACUGGAUUAUAACAUUGGCAAGAAGAAAUCAGGUGGAAGGCUGUGUCUCCCUUAGUAUCCUUCUCAUUUACAUGUCCUCCCACUCUUUAACUUAUUGUCAUUCGGGAACAAACCCACUCUUAACUUAUUGUCAUUCGAGAACGAACCAUCAAUAGCAAAAGGCCGUUUGCUCAUUGCGGCAAAGUGAAGAAAAUUAUUUCCCUGCUCACAACAAUCUGCAGAGUGUGAGAGUAGAAGCUUUACUGUCUCUAUAUGGUGGCGGUUAGCUGCAAAGUGAAGUGCUGUUUUCUUGCUAUCUUUGAUUGCGAGGUAAGUUACAGACUUAUCUGAUGAUUUGUCUAGUAAUUGCUCCACAAUUUUAGUACAACCCAAGUAUGCAGCACAGUGAGGGGAGACCACCCAUUUUCAUGCAUCCACUUAUUUUGUUAGAUCCGGCUUCCAUUGUAAUAACUUCGCUGCCAUUUCUUAUAAACAAAUGAACCAACAAAAAAAACAAAAAACAGCAGAGAAAAAAAAAUUAAGAAAUUCCCUCUAGUAAAGCAUGACCCCUACAGGUGAUCGUGAUCUCUAACAAUAUAUUGCAUGAGUAACUAACCAUGUAGGAAUCAAGAUUCAAGAAAAGGAUCUGCGUAUAUGUUACCUUGGUCCUCACGGAUUACAGAAGCAUGCAAAGCCGUUCUACCCAUUAUGCCACUGUGAGAUGGUGAAGCCCGAGUGUUGCCUAUAAUUAUACCAACCAAGUCUCCACAUCCUUUCUCGGUCGUCAUGUAAAGAGGAGUGUGGCUUGUAGUAUUAGCACCGUGGAUAAAUUCAGGGUCUUCCUCAAUCAAUGACUUCACAAUCUAUGAAUGAUGAUACCGCACCGCCUCAUGUAAGGCUGUGUGUUUCUCCUUAUUGGUCAUCCUCAGCAUGGCCUUGUCUGUUCCAACCCCACUUUCGAUCUCUAGGUGAAGUGCUUUUGCAGCAUCAAGGAGAGCUCUCACAACCGGCCCAUGCUCUUCUCUCGCAGCAAGGUGAAGUGGAGUGUCGUCUUUCAGAUUGGGCUUCUGCAGUAGAGGUGAACAUGAAUGAAAGUGAAGGAUCCACUCUACGCAUGCCAGCUAACUGAACUGGGCUGCAAUGUGGAGGACAGUGUUCCUUUUUGGGGUUCUUUGGAGUUGAAGAUGAUCUUCUGAGUACUUUUUCUCGAGGAUAUUGAUAUCACCUUCCUACAAAGCCUCGCACAAAUCAGCAUCCAUGUGGGUGAUCUCAGUUUGGCCAUAAGCUGCAAUCUAGUUCGACAUCUCAAUUCGGCUUGAAAAGGUUUCCAAGUUAAGGUUAUGCGAUUCGGAGCUGGACUGAUUCACCAUUGGCGUUGGAGGAACAAAGUAAUAAUCAACUCUUCAAAUUCUAUAUAGAGAGCAUAUGUGGAAGGGAAAGUUGUUUGUAUAUAUAUAUAUAUAAAAAGUGGGUAAUAUUUAUAUAAUUAGUAGUGAAUGUUUUUACUAAACCCAAAUUUAUUUGUAACUUUUUCUCCUCUUUCCUUUUUCGUUGCACUUUUGCAUUCUUGGUUGCGUGUCUGGAUGGAGCCUAGAGAUAAGGCUUAAUUUUACGUGUCUCACCUGAUUCUACUGCAUUAUAUACAAUAGAGAAUAAGCUCACUGUGGCAUAACUCUUUAGCUAGAGAGAGAUUUAAGCUUAUGCUUGGUACUAAAAUUAAGAUUUCAUUUUAGUAUUGGUAAAAAACCUAGAUCUUCGAGUCAAAAGUUUCACAUUGAUCGUUAGGUUUAUUAGUGGGUAAAAAACCACGAGUCAAAAGACAUUACGUGUUUUUAUUAGAAUUGUGUCAAGGUAUACACGAUUUUAUUCGAAUUGCAUUUUGGAUUGGUUCUUUAAUUGAGAUGGUACACUUGGAGUAUUUAUUAACUUAUUGUUAACAAAAAUUACUCCAUCGAUCCUAAUUUAGCGAUUAUUUAAGCUGCUUUUACCACCACCAACAAUUCUAGUGGUUUAAAGCAAUUUCAACCAUAUUAUCAGCCAUUUUAUCAUGUCAUCUUCCAAAAAUAACACAAAAUACUAGGGAUUGUAAUUUGUGCUUGUGGGUGGUGUUUGUGUUAUUUUAAAGCUUAUCCAGCAUGAAUAAUAAUCGUGUUAAAAAUAUAAAUCAAAAUACUAUCUAUUUAUUAAAUGGGUAGUGCAUCAUGUAACCCAUUUAAUUUAUUUAGUAAUUAGGUCUUUCUAUUUAAUAAUUAGGUUGAAUUAGGUAUUGCAUACACUUAUAUGAUUAAUUUCUCAGUCAAACAUAUUUAUAAUUUAAUACAUCUAUUUAUUUAAAAAUAAAUUAAUUUAAAAUAAGUCGAAGAUGAGUUAAAUAGUUUAAAGUUAUAAUUAAGUUAAUUAGUGAAAUUAUUAAAUCAAUCCAUUCUAAUCAAAUUUGUGUUAUGUAGGUUGAUAUAAAAUCUACAUAUUUAUUAAAUGUGUUAUACAGACUAACAUAAUUUUGAUCCAAAUUUAAUUAUAGUUGGUCCAAACUUGUAAAAAACAUGUUAAGUUUGAGUCAUGUUGACAUAUUGUAUCAAACUUUAUCAUCUCUACAAAAUACAAUAUUAAGGCCCAAACUAUUAAUAAUCACACAUGCUAAAGAGAGGAAAACCUAAAGGUUAACCAUUUUCAUGAUUGCAAGAUAUUUUUUCCUAGGGAAAAGUGUGCUUCCAUACUCAUAUUUAACAAUAUCACAUGAUGAAAAUCCUUAAAAGUAAUUCAAGUUUGAUGCACUCUAAAAUCAAGAUAACAUUUAGGGUAGUCAAAGAUAUUACUAAUAUUAUUAAAAAUAGUACCUAUUUGCUAAAAAGUAUGUAAAAUCUGAAUUAUUUUUAGAUAAAUAUAUUCAAUUUGAAAAUUUUAAAUUGAGAUUGUUAUAUGAUUUUUUCAAAUGUGUGUAUGAAAACACAAUUUAAUCUCCCUAAUUUUCUUUAUAAAGCAUGGUACCAAGGACAGUUGUUUGGCGUAGAAGUCCAUGUUUCUUUGUUCGUUGUCUAUUUUGUGAUUUUUUUUCUUUUUUCUUUUUCUUUUUGUGGGGACCGAGUGUAGUAUUUGUUUGGUAGAAUUUUCUCUUUUAAUUAUUCUUUUUCUUUCCUUUUGGUGGGGGAUGAAGCGUAAUUUUUGUCCAUGGCUUUCUUUUUCUUUUAUCAGGGACAAGUGGAAUAUUUGUUUGUUAGAAUUUUCUCUUUUAAUUAUUAUUUUUCUUUCUCUUUUGGUGGGGGAUGAAGGGUAAUAUUUGUCCAUUAUUGAUUUUUAUUUUUUUUAAGGGACAAGUCAAAUAUUUGUUUGUUAGAAUUUUCUCUUUUAAUUAUUAUUUUUCUCACUUUUGGUGUGGAUAAAGCAUAAUAUUUGUCCAUUACUGAAUUUUCUCUUCUUUUUUUUUUUUUUCCUUUUAUAGGGAUGAAGUGAAAUAUUUGUCUGUUAUUGAAUUUUCUCUUUUAAUUUUUCUUUUUCUUUCACCUCUUUCAAUUCUUCUUUUUCUUUCUCUUUCGUGGGGAUGAAGAGUAAUAUUUGUCCAUUAUUGAAUUUUCUUUUUUUUUUUGUGUGAACGAAAUGAAAUAUUUGUCGGUUAUUGAAUUUUCUCUUUUAAUUAUUGUUUUCUGUUUUCUUUUUGUGGGGCUGAAGCAGAAUAUUUAUAAUUUUGUGUUUCUCUUUCACUUCUUGUGGGGACAAAGUGAAAUACUUGUCCUUUAGUGUUGACAUUUGGAUAAAGAAACGGGUAGGAAAUAGUUACAUAACUUGGCAUCAAAAUGCUUUUAAGUUAACUUCAACUUAAAUAUAAAUAUUCCUUCCGACAUAAAGAAACUAAAGGAAAAAGAAUGGGAAGAAGUUCCAAAAAUUUUUAACCCAAUUAAGUAGAUUAUGAAAAUCAGUUAAUCUCUCAAUGGAGCCCCUAGUGUUUUCUUCUUUUCUUUUCAAGUGAUAUCAUCUCUAGCCAAUUCUUAAAUGUCAAAUUAGCUCUUCCAUUAGGAUUUUCCGUAGGAAUUGAUGAAAAAACUCAUCCUAAAAAUAGCAUUAGCAUAAAAUUUUAUAUCAUAGGUUGGAAUAUGUUCAAAUUUUUUAUGUGUUGAUGAUAUGUUUCCAUCCAUUUUUUACACAUAAAAAAACUUUUAAAAAAAAUUCAAUAUUUAAGGAUAGUGUAGGAUUAAUAUUAUAACAAAAAUAAAUAAAUAAUUGGGGACUUAUAAAUUGAGAUAUAAGUAAAAAUAUAAAUUUCACACAGAAGAGUAAAUCAAAUUAGAAAAAAGAAAUUAUUGAAUUUCAAUAACAUUUUUCUUUCUUUCCUUUUUGUUUCCCAUUGUUUUUAACGUGUUGAUGGAGCCAUAACAUGUGUGUUGGUCAUAUGUUCCCUUUUGUUUAAGCAUUGACCCAAAGCCUUGGUGGAUCUAUAUGGUUAUGUUUGGUUCUAAAAAUAAAAAUAAAAAAUAGAUUUAAGACUAAUAAAUUAUUUGUAUAUGUUUCUUCAAAAGUUAUUUCACUUAUUUUCCUUCAUUAUAUAAAUAUUAAAUAAUUUAAAAAUAUAUAAAUUUUUAAAAAAAUUUAAUUAUAUUUAUUAAAUUAUGAGUAUAUAUAUAUGCAUUUCAAAUAUAAAUUAAUCUAAAAAAUGUUAAUAAACAUAAUAGUUGAAAUAUCUUAAAACACUACUACCUCUAUCAAGAUAUAUGUGUUAAUAUCCUCCAAACUUUGUCAUUCAAGUUAAAACAAGAGUUGGAAGUAUAUCAUAAUAAAACAAUUGUUUUUCUAGAGAUGAAUAGUAUCUUUUAGCUUAGGUUCACAUUCUUAGUGGACCCAAUUAAUUAGUAAGUGAAAUUUCAAACAUAAAUCAAUCUCAAAUAUUAAUAUCGAUAAAGACUAUGGAAGAAAAUAUCGAGAUAUAUCAACGAUAUAUUACCAAUAUAUCGUGUAUCAGAGGUUAUGGAAAUGAUAUUUGGUGAAGAAAUAUCGUUCUAGCGAAAUUUCGGGAAAAAUCCUAAAAAAUCGACGAUAUUUUGCGAUAAAUCCCAAACAAAAGAUUUGAGGUUCAGCUCACCUUACCACUAGGACAAGUUUGUUCCUUGUUGAAUAUGAUGCACUAAAUGUAUAUUCAAAGUCAUCAUAUAAAAAAAAUAUUAAAAUAAUAUUUUAGAGAGUAAAUUCAUUAUAAUUAUUUUAUAAUUAAAUGCAAAAAAUUCUUUUAGUUGAUUACCAAAAAUAUAAAAAUUAUCAUGAUAAUUUUCUUCAUAGUGUUUUUAAUAUCAUUAAUAGAUUAAUUAAAUAUUAAAAAUUUGCACAUAUAUCAUAAUUUAUUUUAUAUCAUUUAAUACAAUUAAAUUAAAUGAAUCAUAAUUUUAAUAUUAAUAUAUAUUUUAAAAUUAGACAUAUUAUAAUCAAAUAUCAUAAUAGUAUUAUGAAAUAAUAUUUGAUGUAAUUUAAUAAUAAAUGUACACUUACAAAAUUCAUAUUUUUAUUGAUACAUACAAUAUUAUUAUCAAAUAUGAUAAAUCAUAUUAUACGGAUAUCAAAUUCUUUAAUAAAAUAAUUUUAAAAUAUAUAUUAUACUUCUAAUUAUUUUUUAUGAAAUUUUUCUUAUAUUUUUAUAAACUUUGAUCAAUUUUAAGCCUAUCAAUAUUUUUUUUCCAAAAUAUUUAUGAUAUAUUUGAUAUAUGCGUAAAAUCGAAAUACCGAUAUAUUCAUAAUUACUAAUAUUUUCAUCCUUAAUAAAAACUAGAUAUAUACCAUAUCAAAAUGAUAAAAGUAUCUUAAAACCCUCCCACCUUUAUCAAAGAUGUAAGUAUUAAUAUCCUCCAAGUUUUGUCAAAUUAAAACAGGAGGUAGAAAUAUAUUAUAACAAAAUAAUUAAAACAGGGUACAUAUUUGUCAUUCCACUUAGGUUCACAUUCAAAUAUAUAUAUAUAUAUAUAACACACAAUUCACUCAAAUCUUAAUAGUUUUUAUCAAAUCCACAUCAUCGUUUCUUGUGCAAAUAUGGGAAAAACCAUCAAACCCAAUAAAAACUCAUUAAAAAAAAUCUAAUUAUAAUAUAAUUACAAAAAAAAAUCUUAUUUCUAAAAACAAAAAUGAAACAAGAUUUGGUGAAAGUGGUAGAUGUAUCUAUGUUCAAACACUACUAAUUAUAUUCUAAGAGUUAAAAGGAGUAGAUAGAGGUACAAAUGUGCAAUAUAAUUGUUUUGGUAGAAGUGUUUGUGGCUCCUUCAAAUCUUUAAGUCCGUAUUUUCAAAGUUGUUUGUCCAAAUAGGAUUUUCUUUUUCUUUAGCUUGUAAAGAUUAGAGAAAUAAAGAUUUAUUUUUAAAAAAAAUUAAUUUAUAUAAAUUGAAUUUAAAAUAAAAAGUUAUACUCACAAGUAAAUGUAAAAGUUGAAAAAUUAUCCAAAAAAAAUUGUUUUUUCUUUUUGUUAUACUAUCAAAAAAAUUUCUUCUUAUUUUUAUAAAUAAAAAAUAAACCUAGGAUUAGAAAAUAUUUUUUUCUAAAAAUUUUAGAAAAUGUAUUUCCUAAUUGGGCUGUUGCAAUAGUGAUGAAGGAGAACGCGGUUGAAGGAUCCCGUUGACGCAGUCCGUUUGACCAAAUUGGGCCACAACAUGGAUUACUUAGUUCUUUUUUGGGGUUAGUUGCACUUGAAUAUCAUACUGCUCAAGUACAUGCAUGUCACCGUCUUCUGUAGGAUCCAUGAAUGUGAUGUGGGUCAAGCUACCAUCUUCAGCUGCAGCCUGGUUGGUGAUCUGGAUUUCCCUAGCAUCUUCAGCUCCAACCUUAUUGGACUCUGUACCCAAGUUAAGGCUGGAAGUAGUGGAAUCGGCCAUUGUUGUUUGAUGAGUAGUCUCUGUUCUAUUUUGCGCCAAGGAUGGGAAACAAGUUGACCACUUGUUUCAUGGAAUGGGUGGCUCUUAGCUCAACCUUGGGAGACGCUGAUACUUCUUAUAGCCUGCUGGCCAAAACGUUAGGCUGAUGACAAUUUCCCAUCUCAUUGGAUGGAUCCAUAUGCAUAAACAGUGCAAAGAAAUAUUUGGUCACGUAUUCAAUUCUUAACAAUCCCUUGUAUGAUCAAAUAAGUUCAUUGAAUUUUACCCAAAAAAAUAUAAGCAUUAUUCUAAUUAUGUCUUUUAUUUUUAUAAAUAUUAAAUAUAUUUGGUAGCUUCAUUGUUCUUAAAAAUUAUAAAUACAAAAUUAUUUUUGCUAAUUGUAUUAAAAAUAAUAAAUACAAUAUUAAUUUUUAUAAUUAUUAUAUGUUAUAUUUUUUAUGAUUUUUCAGUGGAUUUUAGUGACUUCAAUGUCGACAAGCAACACAUACAUGUUGUUUGUUUAAUUGUAGAAAAACAAGAUAUGGUGAGUUUUGCUUGUUAAUUUUGUAAAUUGAAAUAUGAAAACCGUUGGUUUCUUUCCAUUUAUGUUUUAAUUUUUCUUUAUUCAUGUUUAUGUUCUUAUUCCUCAUUUUUUUUUUCAAUUUUUAAUUUAAAUAUGGGUAUGGAAUCAUAAAUGUCCAUCUCUUAAAGUAAUCCACAUUAAAAUGUACAUCAAAUAAAUUUAAGCGAUGAUUAAGAAUAGGGACAUGAAACUUGGGAAAGGGCUAGAAUGUAAGUUGUUUUUUGAAAAAUAAUUUUUUAAAAUAGUUUUUAAAAGUUGUUGUCGAUGCCUAAGAUAAAAAUUUGUUUGAAAACUUGAAAUACUUUUAAUAUAUUUUUAAUGUUUUUAAAUGUAUUUUUAAAAUAAUUUUUUAUAUUUAAUAUUUUAUUUUUAAUUAUUUUAAUUAUUUAUAUAAUUAUUUUUUAAAACAUUUAUUAGAAAAUAAGUGAAAACUGUUAUUUAAAAACACCGUUGUAGACCCUCGUUUUGGUCAAAGUCUCUCUGGGGAGUAUAUUUUUACCACCCUGGGAAGAGCUGGCAGCUAGGUUUUUUGGUUUUCGGAUGAGCCAAGUCUGGGACGCAUGGCCAAAGACAGCACCACCUUGCCAUGGUGGUGGUUGAGAGAGGGACGUCUGAGAACAGAGCAUGGUGGGAAUAGAGUGUUUCAGAGAAUGAUGGCAGGAGCAGUGGAACGGGUGGGAGGACGUUGACAAGAAAGCCGAGAAGAGAGGGAAAACGGAAGGGGGACUGAGACUUUUGGGGAGGAAAGGGAGAGCUGGGAUUGAGAGAGGAAGGGAUUUUUUUAAAGAGGACAAUUUUUUUUUUUAGAGAAAAACAGGGGAGCUUUCCGACAACCCCUCCAACAGCAACUCCACCACCGGCCACUUCGCCACCUGCUACCCCUCCACCGGCUCAUCUCGCCUCUCCACCAGCAGCGGUUCCAGCGCUAGCUCCAAGGACGAAGGUGAAAUCUCCGGUCGUGGCUCCAUCGCCACUUACAAUAUUUUAAGAAUAAUUUUUUUAAAUUACCGUACUAUUGAGAAAAGUCCGAGUCGACCACCACUGGUAAUUUGAUAUACAAGCUCGGAGGUAUUGACAAGUGUAUUAUUGAGUAGUUUGAAAAAGAAGCCGCUGAAAUGAAUAAAUGACCAUUCAAGUAUGCUUGGGUCUUAGACAUACUCUAUUACCAUUGAUAUCGCUUUAUGGAAGUUUGGGACCAUUACGGCAUUACCAUUGAUAUUGCUUUAUGGAAGUUCGGGACCAUCAAAUAUUAAUGCUCAUGGUCAUUCGAAUUUCAUCAAGAACAUGGUUACUACUUACUAGCACCUCACAAGUCACAAGCAGACUGUCUUGUUUUCAUUAUUAAUUCCACCACUGGUUGAGCAUGUAUUGCUUGUUUACACCAAGCCCUUGGUGUAAGCACAUGAUUUGCUGUUGUAACGAGAUGGAUGCCACACGUCCUCUUAAUCCUUCAUCGUGACAAAUAUAUAUUUAAAAAAAAAAAAUCAAAUUUUAAGUAAUUUUUCAAAAUUUCCCUUUUUAAAAUUUAAUUAAAAAAAAUCCAUUUUCAAAAUCCCUCUUUUCAAAUUUAAUUUACAAAACUUUUUUUUUAAAACAACUUUUCAAAAUCUCAAUUCUCAAACUUAAUUUUCGAAACUCUCGUCUUCAAAUAAUUUUUAAAAUUCCAAUUCUCAAAUUUAAUUUUCAAAACUUCCAUUUUCAAAUAAUUUUUCAAAAUUUCAAUUUUCAAAUUUAAUUUAAAAAAAAAAUCAUUCUCAAAUAAUUUCCCAAAAUUCCAAUUUUCAAAACUUUAAUCUUGAAAUAAUUUUCCAAAAUUUCAAUUUCCAAAUUUAAUUUUCAAAACUUCCAUUCUCAAAUAAUUCUUCAAAAUUCCAAUUUUUUAAAUUUAAUUUUCAAAACUUCCAUUUUCAAAUAAUUUUCUAAAAUUCCAAUUCUCAAUUUUAAUUUUCAAAACUUUAAUCUUCAAAUAAUUUUCAAAAAUUCCAAUUUUCAAACUUUAAUCUUCAAAUAAUUUUUCAAAAUUCCAAUUUUCAAAACUUCUAUUUUCAAAUAAUUCUUCAAGAUUUCAAUUUUUAAAUUUAAUUUUCAAAACUUCAAUUUUCAAAUGAUUUUCCAAAAUUCCAAUUUUCAUCUCAAAUUUAAUUUUCAAAACUCUCAUUUUCGAAUAAUUCUUUAAAAUUCCAAUUUUUAAAUUUAAUUUUCAAAACUUCAAUUUUCAAAUGAUUUUCCAAAAUUCCAAUUUUCAUCUCAAAUUUAAUUUUCAAAACUCUCAUUUUUGAAUAAUUCUUUAAAAUUCCAAUUUUUAAAUUUAAUUUUCAAAACUUCCAUUUUCAAAUAAAUUUUCAAAAUUCCAAAUUUCAAGUUUAAUUUUCAAAGCUCCCAUUUUCAAAAUUUUAAAUAUAAAAAUGAAUAAAUUUUCAUAAUUUCAUAGUAAUGGAAUUUAUGAGAAUUAACUCAUAACAAAAUCAAUAGGGCUUUGGGGGGCUCUACAUAUGAGUUUUCUCUUUCUAUUGUCAACUGUUAUACUUAAUGAAUAUUGUUUGAUCUUUGUCUUGCUCUUUGAUAUGCAUGUGAUGAUGUUAUACUUGACCUAACCUUGUUUCCAUGAUAGCGCAUUAUUACUUGCUAUUAAGGUAUGAUCUCACUCCUACUUUGUUUUAUCCUUAUACAUGAUUUGUUUUAUUAUUUGAUCAUUUUAUUGGUAUCUAUUGAUUUCCUUAUUGAUUUCCGUUUUUAACUUUUCUUUGUUCCGUUCCAUCUUAUCCACCGUUUCAUCCAAUAUGAAAUCUACAUCAUUAACUCCGAAAGAAGCAAGCAGGUGUAUGGGUGUGUCUCCUUGAGCAUCUUUCUCAUUUACAAGUCCUCUCACUCUUAAUCCAUCCUUUAUUAAUACCUCACUACCAAAAUGAGAAGGGUGCUUCUUCAUCAUGGCAAAGUGAAAAACAUUAUUGCCAUUCUCAUCAACCUGCUCACAACAAUCUGGAGCAUGUGACAGCAGCAACUUUACUAUGUCCAUACAGCCAUUGUAACUUGCAAUGUGAAGGGCUGUUCUGUUGCUAUUUUUUAUUCCAAGGUAGAUUACAGACUUGUCUUGUGAUGAUCCGUCUAGUAAUUGCUUGGUAAUUGCGGCAUCACGCAUGUAUGCAGCACAAUGAAGCGGAGACCAGCCAUUUUCAUCCACUUCUUUGAUUAGCAUUGGCUUCCANNNNNNNNNNNNNNNNNNNNNNNNNNNNNNNNNNNNNNNNNNNNNNNNNNNNNNNNNNNNNNNNNNNNNNNNNNNNNNNNNNNNNNNNNNNNNNNNNNNNAAGAAAAUUAAUUAUAAAAUGAACACUAACGCAUUACUAUAGGCCUUAUAUGCACUAUCUUGGUGACGGCAGAGUACAGUAGCAUGCAAAGCUGUUCUACCCUCGAUGCCUUUGUGAUCUGAUGAAGGACUGGUGUCUAUGAUUAUUUCCACCAAGUCCUCAUAUUCUCUCUCUACAGCCAUGUAAAGAGAAGUGUAGCCUGUACUGUUAGCACCAUAGAUGAAGUGAGGGUCUGCCUCAAUCAAUAACUUCACCACUUUUGAGUGAUGAUAUCGCACCGCCUCGUGCAAGGCUGUGUCUUUCUCCUUAUUGGUGAUCCUCAGCAUCGCCUUGUCUGUUCCAACGCCACUUUCGAUCUCUAAGUGAAGUGCUUUUGCAUCAAGGAGAGCUUCCACAACCGCCCUAUGGCCUUCUCUCGCAGCAAGGUGAAGUGGAGUGUCGCCUUUCAGAUUGGGCUGCUGCAGUAGAGGUGAACAUGAAUGAAA
rnacentral:lncRNA from 1 species